ACAUACAGGUUGGAGAUGAUCCUCAUCCUCAUCCUCAUCAAUGAUUUGCUCUAAUUCCAAGCAAUUCAAAAUAGAUAACCCCUCCAAUUGCAACAGAUUUCGAGCAAGUGUUGAUGAGAGGAGACGUCUCAGCCACUCUUAAAUAGGUAAGAUUUUGCAGGCUGAAAUUCUGCGUGGGACCUAUGUGAUAUAAUACUUGCAGUUCUCGAAGGUUUUCCAAACACAACGUCUCCAAACAUGCGAAUAGUUUGUUUUCAAAGCCAUGCUUCAACAGUGCUGGAAUCGUGUCACGCAAAUGGGAACAAUUGGCCACAUCUAGAGUUUUUAAGUUCUGAGACAAAUAAAUAAAUAACUUGAUGCAAUUAAAAUCUAUUAGCAGCUAGGAUUAUCACAUGAUAAGUGAUGAACACUGCAAAAAACAAAAACAGAAAACAAAAUCCAUACAAAAAUAUCAUAAUAUAUAUGUAAACUAAUAAAAUAAUUGAAAAGUAAUGGAUUUAAAAAAAAAUGAAAUUAGUUAAAAGAGAUCAUGUGAAGUGAUAUAAAUGUGACAUUAGAUUGUUUUAGAAAAAUUAUUAUUCUAUUAAUUUAUAUGGCUUGAUCAACUAUUUAAUUGAAUUUGAAUAAUAUUAUAUACACUUCAGAAGUAUUUGCAUCAAUUCUUUCUAAACCAAAAUGANNNNNNNNNNNNNNNNNNNNNNNNNNNNNNNNNNNNNNNNNNNNNNNNNNNNNNNNNNNNNNNNNNNNNNNNNNNNNNNNNNNNNNNNNNNNNNNNNNNNNNNNNNNNNNNNNNNNNNNNNNNNNNNNNNNNNNNNNNNNNNNNNNNNNNNNNNNNNNNNNNNNNNNNNNNNNNNNNNNNNNNNNNNNNNNNNNNNNNNNNNNNNNNNNNNNNNNNNNNNNNNNNNNNNNNNNNNNNNNNNNNNNNNNNNNNNNNNNNNNNNNNNNNNNNNNNNNNNNNNNNNNNNNNNNNNNNNNNNNNNNNNNNNNNNNNNNNNNNNNNNNNNNNNNNNNNNNNNNNNNNNNNNNNNNNNNNNNNNNNNNNNNNNNNNNNNNNNNNNNNNNNNNNNNNNNNNNNNNNNNNNNNNNNNNNNNNNNNNNNNNNNNNNNNNNNNNNNNNNNNNNNNNNNNNNNNNNNNNNNNNNNNNNNNNNNNNNNNNNNNNNNNNNNNNNNNNNNNNNNNNNNNNNNNNNNNNNNNNNNNNNNNNNNNNNNNNNNNNNNNNNNNNNNNNNNNNNNNNNNNNNNNNNNNNNNNNNNNNNNNNNNNNNNNNNNNNNNNNNNNNNNNNNNNNNNNNNNNNNNNNNNNNNNNNNNNNNNNNNNNNNNNNNNNNNNNNNNNNNNNNNNNNNNNNNNNNNNNNNNNNNNNNNNNNNNNNNNNNNNNNNNNNNNNNNNNNNNNNNNNNNNNNNNNNNNNNNNNNNNNNNNNNNNNNNNNNNNNNNNNNNNNNNNNNNNNNNNNNNNNNNNNNNNNNNNNNNNNNNNNNNNNNNNNNNNNNNNNNNNNNNNNNNNNNNNNNNNNNNNNNNNNNNNNNNNNNNNNNNNNNNNNNNNNNNNNNNNNNNNNNNNNNNNNNNNNNNNNNNNNNNNNNNNNNNNNNNNNNNNNNNNNNNNNNNNNNNNNNNNNNNNNNNNNNNNNNNNNNNNNNNNNNNNNNNNNNNNNNNNNNNNNNNNNNNNNNNNNNNNNNNNNNNNNNNNNNNNNNNNNNNNNNNNNNNNNNNNNNNNNNNNNNNNNNNNNNNNNNNNNNNNNNNNNNNNNNNNNNNNNNNNNNNNNNNNNNNNNNNNNNNNNNNNNNNNNNNNNNNNNNNNNNNNNNNNNNNNNNNNNNNNNNNNNNNNNNNNNNNNNNNNNNNNNNNNNNNNNNNNNNNNNNNNNNNNNNNNNNNNNNNNNNNNNNNNNNNNNNNNNNNNNNNNNNNNNNNNNNNNNNNNNNNNNNNNNNNNNNNNNNNNNNNNNNNNNNNNNNNNNNNNNNNNNNNNNNNNNNNNNNNNNNNNNNNNNNNNNNNNNNNNNNNNNNNNNNNNNNNNNNNNNNNNNNNNNNNNNNNNNNNNNNNNNNNNNNNNNNNNNNNNNNNNNNNNNNNNNNNNNNNNNNNNNNNNNNNNNNNNNNNNNNNNNNNNNNNNNNNNNNNNNNNNNNNNNNNNNNNNNNNNNNNNNNNNNNNNNNNNNNNNNNNNNNNNNNNNNNNNNNNNNNNNNNNNNNNNNNNNNNNNNNNNNNNNNNNNNNNNNNNNNNNNNNNNNNNNNNNNNNNNNNNNNNNNNNNNNNNNNNNNNNNNNNNNNNNNNNNNNNNNNNNNNNNNNNNNNNNNNNNNNNNNNNNNNNNNNNNNNNNNNNNNNNNNNNNNNNNNNNNNNNNNNNNNNNNNNNNNNNNNNNNNNNNNNNNNNNNNNNNNNNNNNNNNNNNNNNNNNNNNNNNNNNNNNNNNNNNNNNNNNNNNNNNNNNNNNNNNNNNNNNNNNNNNNNNNNNNNNNNNNNNNNNNNNNNNNNNNNNNNNNNNNNNNNNNNNNNNNNNNNNNNNNNNNNNNNNNNNNNNNNNNNNNNNNNNNNNNNNNNNNNNNNNNNNNNNNNNNNNNNNNNNNNNNNNNNNNNNNNNNNNNNNNNNNNNNNNNNNNNNNNNNNNNNNNNNNNNNNNNNNNNNNNNNNNNNNNNNNNNNNNNNNNNNNNNNNNNNNNNNNNNNNNNNNNNNNNNNNNNNNNNNNNNNNNNNNNNNNNNNNNNNNNNNNNNNNNNNNNNNNNNNNNNNNNNNNNNNNNNNNNNNNNNNNNNNNNUUUGCAUAAUCCAAAAAUAACAAAUACUAAUCACACAAAAAAUAAAGAUUAUUGCUGUCACGACAGUACACACUUUCUUCGCCGUCUAGAAAGGUAGAACAUUUUGAAGUUCCUCAAUACAAAAUGCGUGCUACUACUAAAUUGGCACAAUUAAUGCCCAUCGAAAAGGCCAUCAAUUUAGCCAACAAUUUUGUCAAAAUUUCAACAAUUGAAGAAAUCUUGAGAUACAUAAAACAAAGUCUUGAAACAAAUAUUAACAAUCCAUCUGCAGAGGAAGUAUGGAACAAAGCUUAUUAUUAGCUUCUUGUGUGAACUGAACACGCUGAACAAAGCAUUUUUUUUUUUUUUGGAUUUUUGGAAUUUUUUAAAAUCAUUUAUGUUCGCUGUCAUCUUUUUCUUCGCUGGCGUCUUCAUUGGCAUCUUCCUCGUGUGUAGUUUGCUGUGUCUAUAUAUCCAACCAAUAAAUUGGGCAUUAAAUACGAAUGAAUGAUGAAUAAAAUGAUAAAAAAAAAAACAAACAGAGAAAAUUAUAAUAUAACACAUAUAUAUAUUGAAAGAGAAAUUUUGAUUUUAGGAUAGAUCAAUUAACUAUCACAAACGAAAACAUGAACCAACUAUGUAUAGAGUCAAUUAAUUUAAAGUUCUCAAGAAUUACCUCUGCUCCACAAUUCUCGGAAUCAUCUUCUCCUUCUGAACUUGGACGAAACUUGGGACAAUUACGAACAACUUCAUAUUUAGAAGAUGGAAAUGGGAUCUGAUAACCCGCAGGCCAAAAGUUGCUGAGGUUUGGUAAACCAAACAAUGUCAAGCUCCAAAGUUCAUUCAUAACAAUUUCAUUGUAAUCCGUGACGUCUGCUCCAUCUUUAUGCCAGAAUACUUCUUCUGCUGUACCGUACAUCCGCCUUGGCCGUACAGCACUCUUAAAUAGGUAAGAUUUUGCAGGCUGAAAUUCUGCGUGGGACCUAUGUGAUAUAAUACUUGCAGUUCUCGAAGGUUUUCCAAACACAACGUCUCCAAACAUGCGAAUAGUUUGUUUUCAAAGCCAUGCUUCAACAGUGCUGGAAUCGUGUCACGCAAAUGGGAACAAUUGGCCACAUCUAGAGUUUUUAAGUUCUGAGACAAAUAAAUAAAUAACUUGAUGCAAUUAAAAUCUAUUAGCAGCUAGGAUUAUCACAUGAUAAGUGAUGAACACUGCAAAAAACAAAAACAGAAAACAAAAUCCAUACAAAAAUAUCAUAAUAUAUAUGUAAACUAAUAAAAUAAUUGAAAAGUAAUGGAUUUAAAAAAAAAUGAAAUUAGUUAAAAGAGAUCAUGUGAAGUGAUAUAAAUGUGACAUUAGAUUGUUUUAGAAAAAUUAUUAUUCUAUUAAUUUAUAUGGCUUGAUCAACUAUUUAAUUGAAUUUGAAUAAUAUUAUAUACACUUCAGAAGUAUUUGCAUCAAUUCUUUCUAAACCAAAAUGAGAUAUGACUUUCAUUUGAAGAAUGGUUUUAGGCUCUAAAAUAAAGGAAUUUCCUUAAGAUAUUUGAGCAUUAUUAUUAUCAUCACCACAUCCACGAUCAUCAUCAUCUCCAUAGGACCAAAUAAUUAAUGGCUGAUAAUAAAAUUUAUUGCUAAACUAUCAUUUCGAGUAAAAUUGAAGGAAAAGAAAAAACAUAAACACAAAUGAACAUACCUCUCCAAGAUACUGCAAAUUGGCUUCAAGUUCAGUAUUGUUGAUGGUCAAUUUGGGACUGCUAUGAAGUUCUAACUCUUCCAAUGCCGGCCAAGUUGAAUAAUAAUUCUCUGAACAGAACUUGGUGAGUUCUGGGAGAUUAUACAGUGUUAAUUUUCUCAACCAAGGGAGGGCGAGCAUCGUAUUUCCAUCUCCGACACUUAUUUCCCCUUCAUUGUAAUCAAACUUUGCUUCGACAAUAUAUUCCAGUCUCUCGCAUCCACUUACAUUGAGACUUUUAAGCUGCUCCAAACUUCUAGCUUGUGACAACGUGAAGAUAUAUGUCAACUUGUUGCACCUAUGCACAUUCAAUUUUGUAAGAGUUUGGAGACUGAUCACAUGUUGGGCGGGCGCCUUCCAUAUCCACUUCAGUUCUGGUAAGUACCACAUCGAUAACUCUGCUAAUCUUGAGAGACUCUUUCCAUGCGGCGACUUAGAGGCUUCCAUUAUGCAUUCUAAAUCUUUGCAAUCGCGGACAUCAAGACAAGUCAACUCAUUUAAGCCCCUUUCAUCAAUGCUUGGCACAAUAUUAUGGCAACCUAUUAACCCCCUCAAACAAAGAAAUUCCAGAUUUUGAUACAAUGCUGAAAAAAUACCGAGCGAGGUCGCUUCAGGAGGGUCAUUCUUAAUGAUUAAGCUCCUUGUUUCAUCAUUCUUAAUGAUUAAGCUCCUUGUUUCAUCAUCAACUCCUUUACCUUUACAGAUGAUGUAUCUUUGCAAUUUCGGGAAUGUAAAGUCUUUUGGAAGACAUACAACAGAUCUGUCGGCUUGGGAGUUCAACUCAGCAAGCCUAGCAUUACUUUCUUCUGAACUCAUCCCUUCAACCUCCCAAUUUUUUAUCCGACCAUAAAAUUCUUCCAAUUGACGAAAUUUUUUUAUCGUAAUGGGAGAAAUGGAGCCAGUAGCAAUAUAAGAAGUUUCAAUCUAUGAUGUUCAUCCGACAAUUCUUCAAGAAUUUUAAUGGGAGACUUCUCGAGAAAAAGAAGUUCAAGCCUCUUCAACUUUCCAAGGAAAGACGCGUCACUCACCUCACAUCGAAUCAACUGCAGAACCUGGAGGUCGGUGAGGAUCUGAAGCGAUUUAAGUGAAAGAACUCCACCUAUUAUAGUGACAACUUUCAAUGCUAGCAUCCCUUCAAAAAAAUGUUCUGGAACUUGCAAUCGGUGGCCGUAUUCAGGAUUCUCCAAUCGCAAAAUAUGAAGGUUAGGGCAUACCAAACCACUAGGAAGCUCUUCUUCUUUUUUAUUUCCCACCAAAGAGAUUCCUCUGUAUUGUUCCAAGCCUUCUUUCAUUACCCGUUCUGCCAAUCCAAUGCCAACUUUACUAAAAAAUUUCUUCUCCUCUAGAACUACUGAGCCUAUCCAUAUGGCUACAUCACGAACUAUGUCAUGCAUUUUCACAGAUCUGUCAUUACCAGUGUCUAACAGCAGUGACGCAGCUUUGAGCGCGUUAAUUGUUCCAUGCAGUCGGCUUCUGGCAUUUUCUAUUGACGGAGCACAUUGAUACCAAAUAACCCCCACUGCGUAUCCAACCAAAUCCUCCAAAUAAAUCUCAUAAUCUUCUGGAAACAGAGAACACAACAAGAAGCAUAACUUGGACUCCUCACUAUUUAAAUUGUCGUAACUGAAUUUGAGACAACCGUAAACGCCUUGGUCAUCCUUGUCAAUACCUUCUAUUGCAUAGAGUUUUGCUUCCCUUAGGUUAGAUAGUGCUAGAUUCCAAUCAUCAAAUCCUUUUUCUCUUAGUGCACUUCCAACAACUUCAAUAGCUAAAGGCAGCCCCUUACAUUCGCCAGCAACUUGUUUUGAAACACCAUCCAAGGAGGAGUCGUUUACAUUAAUACGGGCAUUCAUUUUUAGGAGAGUCAAUCCUUCUUCUGCUGUUAGUGUACCAAGUUCAAUCUGUGGGUAACAACCGAAAAAACCACAAAUUGACUUUUUGCGAGUGGUUAGAAGGAUUUUGCAACAAUUGUCUCUAUCACUAAUGGGAAUACCUAAUUUUUUCUCCAAGUCGAGUUGUUUCCAAACAUCAUCAAGGAUUAUGAGGAUUUUGCUGCCUUUAUUCUCAGAAAACAUCAACCGCAAUCGAUCUGCUCUCUCUUUUUCAUCUGUCUCAUUUAACGCCCAGCCUAACGACUUUACCAGCUCACCUUGAACCUUUAUUAUAUCUGGAUCCUGAGACACAGUGACUAUCCCCACCUUAUCGAAAUCCUUUUGUUGCCGAAGUUGAUUGCCCACAAAUUUUGCCAGGGUUGUCUUUCCUACGCCACCGAGACCAUGCAAUCCCACCAUCUUUAUGCUCGCUUUUUUCAGGGCGUCAAUGAUCUGAUUGCGAGCUGAUUCUGUGGUCUCGAAGGUAGAAGAAAAAUAACUUGGUAAACUUAAUUCUCUCUCUAAUGUUAGAGGUUUAGGACGGGCAACUGUGCUGAAUUUGCUGCGGUCUUGUAGCAGAUCGGACAACUUGCUAGUCUUCUUUGAAGCUUUUCUACCCAGCCAGUAUCGCCAACCCCAAUUAGGACACCAUCCAUUAAGACAACUCUUCUUUUCAUCUAUCUUUGCUUUCAAAUUUCGAACGUCGGCCAUUUCUUUGUCUACAUCCUCGAGCCAUGUCUCGACAUCUUUCUCGACUACUAUAGCACGGUGUAUUUGUCGUUCUUGUUCUACUCUUUCAUUGAUGCCAUCUUGUGCCUCCUUCAAAUUGGUUUCUUUAACCUUAAGUUCUUUAUCUAUGCUGUUGAAACAGAGCAGAUAGCGAGCUUGGUUUAUGGUUGCAUCCGCCAAUAAUUCUCCAAGCUUUGAUGCAACACCUGAUAAAAUUUCCAUGCUAUUUAUCUGCAAUUAACAAGUUGAUCUCAGUAUGCUAUAAGCAAAACAUCAAGGCUUGAUCACAAGAUCGAACGAGAAUAUUUAAUUGCUUUAAAUAAGAGCAAAAUGCAAAACAGAAGAGAAUGAAAUAAGGUAAACGUUAUAUAUGAUGGAUUACAUUGAAAUUGGAUUACUUUAGAAAUUUUUAAAUAAAAAUAUCAAACAACAAAUUUUAUAGAAUCCGGAUAAACCUAAGAGUUUGUUGUGCAUGGCGAGUGAACACAGGCAGUUGCGUGGGGAAUAUGAUAGAAGUGAUGAAAAACUGAAAAGCCACCCAUAAUAACAAUUAAAAACAGUAUUAGAGAUUAGAGGAGUUCAACAUCCCAUGCAAGCCCACUCAUGAAAAAAUAUGAAUGGUUUCAAGAUGAUUACUCUUUUUUUUUUUUACCUUUAAUAAAUAUUCUAAUAAAAUAAUACCAUAAUUUCAAAUAAUAUCUUAAUUUCUUUUUCCUUUAAAUGUUCAUUGAUCUCACAUAUUGGAUAAUUAAUUUAAUCAUUUGUUAAAUUAUUUAUUACUCUAUCUUAUUAUUCGAUAGAUAUAAAUGACACCUUAUUUGGUAUGAUAAAAAAUUGGGGUAAAUUUUCUUUUAUUCUCAGAAGUUUGGACCUAUUACUAGUUAUAGUAUUUGUAUUUUUUAAAAUUUUACCUAAACGGUCCAUGUCAUAUCUUUUAUAGCCAUCGAACAUGACUUUUCAAGUGUAAGAUAAUAUUUUUGUCUGUUAUAAAUUAAAAUUCAAAUGAAUCUAUCAUGCAACAAAUGAAACGUAAAUAAUAUUAAUUAGGUUUUAAUUGGAAACAAAUAUAAAAAAUUGCUUUUUUAUUAAUUUUUGUGAAGUCUUUUAAUGUUCGAAUUAGAAUUGAAUAAUUUGUAUAAGGAUAAUUUAUAGGAAGAUAAUCUGCAGAAUAAGCUUAUAUGUCGAAUUUAAAAGAGUUAUAUUAGUAAUCAUAUAUUUAUUAAAUUUUUUUAAUAAAAAAUUUGUUUAAAAAUUGGCCAAAUGGGUUUCAUGAAUAAAAUAGAAGAGCAUGAACAGCGCCACUUUCAAUUUUUAUUGUGGUUGUACAAUUGAAAAGACGCAUUAAAUGGACCAAUUUGAAAUGGCAAGAGAGCAUAAUGGACUCAUGUUGGGACUUGGAUAGGAAAAUUAAUUUUAUUUUAAAGUAUGGUCAACAGUACUGAUUUGGAGGUGAUUGACGUUAAGUUAAAUUAAUGAAAACAAAUGGCAAAAAAAUUUUAAUGAAAAUUAAUUAAUGAAAAAACGCAUUAAAAAAUUUGAACUUAAGAUCGUGAUCAUUUUGUCCGUAUGUUUUUAAUCCAACGGCUCAGAAUUGGCAUAAAACAAGCUCGUAUAGCCAUUGGAAGUAAAACAAAAAUCAAUUUAAGAGCCUAUGAAACAAUAAGAUCUCAUACCUUCUUCGUUAUAUAUCCUCAAUUACUGCUGAAAGCUCCAGUUAAGAGAGUCGCACAAGUUCGGAAAAAAUUAUAAAAAGCUGCAUAUGGCAAUAUAAAUAAACAUCAGAUCAAAACGACAUCGGAUAUAUCUACCUAAUUAACAUCUCAUAUAAGUCCUUGUUCUCAGUCAAAUAUUUCAUCCUUAGAAAAAAGAAAAAAAAAAGAUUGCAAUAAUAACUGUAUGUUUUUAAUCCAACGUGCAAAAUUGGCAUAAAACAAACAUUAAGUUAAGACUUUAGAGCCUAUGAAACAAUAAUAUCUCAUACCUUCUUCGUUAUAUAUCCUCAAUUACUGCUGAAAGCUCCAGUUAAGAGAGUCGCACAAGUUCGGAAAAAAUUAUAAAAAGCUGCAUAUGGCAAUAUAAAUAAACAUCAGAUCAAAACGACAUCGGAUAUAUCUACCUAAUUAACAUCUCAUAUAAGUCCUUGUUCUCAGUCAAAUAUUUCAUCCUUAGAAAAAAGAAAAAAAAAAGAUUGCAAUAAUAACUGUAUGUUUUUAAUCCAACGUGCAAAAUUGGCAUAAAACAAACAUUAAGUUAAGACUUUAGAGCCUAUGAAACAAUAAUAUCUCAUACCUUCUUCGUUAUAUAUCCUCAAUUACUGCUGAAAGCUCCAGUUAAGAGAGUCGCACAAGUUCGGAAAAAAUUAUAAAAAGCUGCAUAUGGCAAUAUAAAUAAACAUCAGAUCAAAACGACAUCGGAUAUAUCUACCUAAUUAACAUCUCAUAUAAGUCCUUGUUCUCAGUCAAAUAUUUCAUCCUUAGAAAAAAGAAAAAAAAAAGAUUGCAAUAAUAACUGUAUGUUUUUAAUCCAACGUGCAAAAUUGGCAUAAAACAAACAUUAAGUUAAGACUUUAGAGCCUAUGAAACAAUAAUAUCUCAUACCUUCUUCGUUAUAUAUCCUCAAUUACUGCUGAAAGCUCCAGUUAAGAGAGUCGCACAAGUUCGGAAAAAAUUAUAAAAAGCUGCAUAUGGCAAUAUAAAUAAACAUCAGAUCAAAACGACAUCGGAUCUGAAAGCUCCAGUUAAGAGAGUCGCACAAGUUCGGAAAAAAUUAUAAAAAGCUGCAUAUGGCAAUAUAAAUAAACAUCAGAUCAAAACGACAUCGGAUAUAUCUACCUAAUUAACAUCUCAUAUAAGUCCUUGUUCUCAGUCAAAUAUUUCAUCCUUAGAAAAAAGAAAAAAAAAAGAUUGCAAUAAUAACUGUAUGUUUUUAAUCCAACGUGCAAAAUUGGCAUAAAACAAACAUUAAGUUAAGACUUUAGAGCCUAUGAAACAAUAAUAUCUCAUACCUUCUUCGUUAUAUAUCCUCAAUUACUGCUGAAAGCUCCAGUUAAGAGAGUCGCACAAGUUCGGAAAAAAUCAAAUCUUUCAUUCUUAGGAGAUAAAAAAAAAAUUGAAAUAAUAACUGUUCAGUGACAUAGGAUUAGGAAGCAAAAGUAACAUACCAAAAUGAGAGUAGCCAGUUCACAGAUGACAGAUCCGGUGACUUCAAGAGCAUAAAAAAUUAUUGAACUUUGUUAGAAAGGUCUGAGUCGUGUUUCACAAAAUUAUUGAACUUUGUAUUUGGGGUAUUUUUUUGGUUGUUAAGUGAAUGAGCUUAAAUCUAAAACAUUUAUUUAUAUAUUUCUUGUUGGAAAGAAUUUAAAUCUUAUUCUUAUUAGACUUAUUCUUUUUAAACAAAGGUAGAUUUUUCUCUUUGUGUUUAACGUGUAUUUUAAAAUUAAUGUUCAACAUAUCUUUAGAUUCUAUUAUAAAUAUUCAUAUCUAAAAUCUCAACAGAUUUCAUAAUAUAUAAAUAUAUAUAAAAAGAGAGAAUAAUUCUAAUAAGAAAUUUAUUAAGUUAAAGAAUAAUUCAAAUAAUAAAAUAACACACUUCAAUGUAUACAUAUCUUUAGAUUCUUUAGUAUAAUAAAAUAUAUUGUAUUAAAAUAUAUAUUUUAUUUACUUUUUUUAAUAUAUCUCUUAAUAACUUAAGAAAUCCUUUAUUUACCUCUCUCUCUCUCUAUAUAUAUAUAUAUAUAGUUUUUUAAAAAAUAGACAAUUUAGAGUUAAACAACGGACAUUAUGGGGGCCUUUACUAGACUACCAAUCUACCAUUUUGGAUUGUAAUAAAGUUAAAAUGGGUUUCUUUCAAAAGAAAGAAAAAGUGACAAUCAAUCUUGCCGGCCAAUACAUCAACUUUUUAGCUGGAUUAUUACCACCACAAAACUAAAUUAUUGCAAGCACUAGCAAAAAGCAAUCGAUGAUUUCGCAAUUUGGCUGUCAAAAAGCAAACUAGAUCACGAUUCCUCCAUUAAAAAUGGUGCUUUUUUUUAUUAAAUACGUAAAAAUUAAACCAACAAUUCAAAAUAGACGAUUGUAGAUGCGUAUAAACUGAAGAAGGUAAAUUUUUCGUGUGUGUAAAUAUUUUAGUUAACAUGAAAGAAUUCUAACAAAGUUAAUAUAAGAGUAUCAUAGCAAUACAAGAGUAAAUAUAUAUAUGUGUGUGAGUGAAGGAAGAAAAAAAAAUUAAGAAUAAUUUUGGCAUUUUGAUGGGUUUUAUAGAGUAAAAUCUAUAUUUUCAAAUAUGAUAAUUCUUUAAUUUAAUUUGAUGUUAUGAAAAAAGGGCAUUUUAAAUAUGUUUUAAGAUAAAGUGAAAACAGUAGACUACCAAUAUACCAUUUUGGAUUGCAAUAAAGUGAAAAUGGGUUACUUUCAAAAAAGAAAAGGUAACUGUGAGUUCUCCAUUUCAUCUUGUCGGCCAAUACAUCAACUUUUUGCUGGAUUAUUAUCACCGUCAAAAAUAAAUUAUUGAAUCACAAGCAAAAAGUAAUCUGUCGUCAUCUUGAUUCCGUAAUUUGGCUGUCAAAAUACAGGGUAAAACUAAGUUCUCAUUAAAUAUAUAAUUGUAUAGUUGUAUUAAUAAAAUUUAAUGGCUAAAAAUAAUAAUGGUACUGUAUUGCUGUUGUAAUAUAAUUGGACCCCAAAAUGCAAUCCAUAAAGAUUACCAUACCUCGUUUUAAAAAAAUACUGUUUCUGAUGAAAUAAAUGAAAAUUAAACUUGCAAUCUACCACGAACACACCAUUCAAUAAGCCGUUUAUUUCUCCUUAAAUUUUUAAUCUCAAUGAAACAUAAAUCUAAUGGGAACUACACAUAUAUAAAAAUACUAUAGAUUGAAGAAGUUGAUUUUUUCUUGUGUUAAGUAUUUUUGGUUAAUACGAAAGGAUUCUAGCAAGUUAAUACAAAAGUUUCAUAAAUUCAUAGUAGCACAAGAGAUUUUUUUUUCUUUUGAUAUUAAGAGUUUUUGAGAUAAAAAAAAUAGGUGAAAGAAGAAGAUGAGAGAAGAAAAAAUAUUAAGAAUAGUUUUGGCAUUUUGAUGCGUUUUAUAGAGUAAAAUCUAUAUUUUAUAGUAUAAAAUGGUACACCCAGAAUUUAAUGAUAAAAUUUUAGAAAAAAAUUGCACUCGUCAAGAAAAAAAAAAAGCUCAGCUUAACUCAAAAUUUUUUUAUUAAUCGUCUAGUCGCUAAUGUAAUCUCUUUUUUAUGAGAUUCUUUGGCGAUUUGAUUUAGUCCAUUGUUAGCAAUCCUAAUAGCUUUUAUGUGGAUCUAUUUUUAUUUGAAAUAUGUUUCAAGCUUGAAUAAAAUCUGCGGGACAACUAGUAAGUAAUAAAGCUCAUCACUUACACUUAGCAUGAUAUUAUUUUUGAUAAGUCAUUGUUUUGGUAGAUUAUUUUUUCUGACACGCUCUUAGAUUUAGUGAAAAUAAAUUGUAUACUUUUAAUGAAGAAAAGUAAAGAUUAACAAAAUAUUUUGUUGUUUUCGGUAAUUUUUGCGCUGUCAAGUGCGCCUGGUACCUUUUUUUUUUUUUUUAACUUUUGAGGUGUUGUUUAAUUUGUAUUAAAAUUAAUUAUCAUGGACCCACGUGCCAUUGUUUUCAUUUCAAGUUUCAUAAUUUAACAGUAGAAAUAGGUUCCACAGAUAAUUUAUUUUAUAAUUUUUUUAAAAAUUACUAAAAUGUAAUAAAUAAGGUAAUAAUAAUUAAUAAAAAGUAGAUUUUAAGAUGGAAAAAUCUUUUUGUGUACUUAAUAAAAAGAUGAUAAGAAUGGGAUGUUUUUGGUUAAUUGGUUUACAUUCUCAUAGUUAUUUAUACUGAAAAAUUACAUCAAAAUUUAAUUAAUAAAUCAGUGAACUGCAGACUUAUUAAAUUUAAGCUAUUUUAAUAAGUCAUAAAUAUACUAAGUUAAAAUAGUAGUAAACCCAUUGUUACACAAUACUCUCCAUUGAGUGUUCACCAUUUUAAGAUAAUCAUAAAAUGACACCGGAAGUGCUAUUAUAGCUGUCUCAUGGAAAGCCUUCACCAAUAAAAAGGUGUUUGAUUUUAUCUUCUUUUAUAUACGCUCCUCUAACUUGUGUAAUAGUAGUAAACGGGUAAUUUUUAAAAAUUUUUCGUGAGGUUUGGGCUUGUUGCAAGUAGAUGGCGAGAAUCUAUUUAUUUGUAAAAAACUUCUUACCGUUAGUUACUUUUAACAUUGACCAUUAGUUGACUGUGUAAAGACAAUAUUACCCUUAACAACAAUUUGUAGAUGGAAUUAAUUAAAAAAAAACUAAAAUUGUUAGCUAUUUUACCCUCUUUAUAUUAUUAAUAUUUUCUUAAAAUUUCUACAAGAAUGAUAAAAUUAAAAACUUAAAUUUUUUUUUAAAUUAUUGAUAUUUCCUUAAAGUUCCUACAAGAAAGAUAAAAUUAAAAAUUUAAAAAUAAACUAGUCAUAAUCUUUCCCUAUAAUAUUAUAAAUCUUUGAAAUUGACAAGGAUAAAAUUAUCAAAAAAUAGGAAUUGUACUUUUCGCGCCAACAAUUUUAAUUUUUUUUUAAUUAUGUCAGUCUACAAACUGCUGUGAAGGGUAAUAUUAUCUUUACACAGUCAACUAAUGGUCAAUGUUAAAAUUAACUAACGAUAAGGGAUAUUUUAUAAAUAAACAAAUUCUCGCCAUCUAUUUGCAACAAACCCAAACCUCAGGGGAGGUUUUUAAAAAUUAUCCAGUAGUAAACCCCUGCCUGUUUUUAUUUCGUUUAGUAUUUUCUAAAUGGCCGAAGGAAAAUUGUUAAAAACUCAUUUAAAAAUUAAAAAAUCAAAGAAAUUCAAGAAGAAGCUUUUGUAUCUGCCAUUUGUAUUUGGGGUAUUUUUUUGGUUGUUAAGUGAAUGAGCUUAAAUCUAAAACAUUUAUUUAUAUAUUUCUUGUUGGCAAGAAUUUAAAUCUUAUUCUUAUUAGACUUAUUCUCUUUAAACAAAGGUUGAUUUUUCUCUAUGUAUUUAACGUGUAUUUUAAAAUUAAUGUUCAACAUAUCUUUAGAUUCUAUUAUAAAUAUUCAUAUCUAAAAUCUCAACAGAUUUCAUAAUAUAUAAAUGUAUAUAAAGAGAGAGAAUAACGUUUCUAAUAAGAAAUUUAUUAAGUUAAAGAAUAAUUUAAAAGAUAAAAUUGUAUUCAACCCAUUUAUAUGAUUAAUUAAGGUUUUAAACAAAUUUUGGACUUGUUCUAUUGUAGAGCUUAAAUUCAAAAUGGAAAAGUGAAGAAGGGAAAAAGAAGACGAAUAAAGAAGAAAAGAGGAGAACAACUUAUACCAAAGAGGGAGAACGAAAAAGUGAAGGACAGAAAAAGAAAAAGAAUAAAGAAGAAAUUAAUCAUCGCUGAUAUGAAAAUAAUUCCUUCUUCUUUAUUGUUCUUAGUGGUUCUACUUUUUUUUAUUGGAUUCUAAAUUUUUGUCGGAGAUGGAUUAUAAGAACUAGAAAAUUAUAAAGAUAAUUUUUUAAUUAUUCGAUUAAUUAAUUCCAGCAGAAGACAAGAAAUUGAUUCUGCUUCGUUAGAAAGCCAUCACAUUCUAUACGCAAUUGCAAAAAGUAUAUAUUUUUGUCUGUUUUAGACAAGAAUAAAAGGGAUGCCUGGUAUUGCAAAUCUAGACACGUUUUAGUGCUUUAUGUCCGAAUGAAUUCUUUCUUGCAACAAUAAACUUGGCCGAUCAGGAUUUGCCGUUUACAUAUGUAGGUCCUGUUGGUUCUGUAGUAGGACUCAUAAAUUUUUAUUUUUAAUUUACUGAAUCCAUAAAUUUAAAAUAACGGUGCAACUCCUGAGGGAUGACAAUGGGCCGGGUGAGGUCUUGGAGUCUGCAUAUUAAAAAAUGUGGAUCCGAAUAUAAAAAAUCCGCACGAAUCCGAAUGCAAGUGCAUUUGAAAAACCGGAUAUCGAGAUAUGGAUAAAAAUUUAUUUCAAAUUAAAAAUUAAAUUAAAUGUAUAUUAAAAAGUAAAUGAAAAAUUAAGAAAGUAAAUUUUAUUUGUGGAUUUAUGAUGUCAUUGUAUAUUAUUCAUGUUGAAUUAUUAAUUGUUGGAUUAUGAUUGAAUUUUAUUUGAUAUUAUUGGGCAAAUUAUUGAAUUUCAUUUUAAAUUAAAAAUUAAAUUAAAAAUAUUUAUUAAAAAUUAAAUUUUAUUUGUAGAUUUAUGAGAUUAUUGUAUGUUAUUCAUUUUAAAUUUUUAAUUAUUGAACUAUGAUUAAAUUUUAUUUGAUAUUAUUAGGUAAAUUAUUAAACUUUUAAAUUUUAUAUUAAAUUAUAAGCAGUAGGAAAUUAUGGUAUUCAGAACAUGUAUACCUUCGCACAUGAAGCUUGAGUCCAGAACAAGAUGCAGCUAGCCAAUCCUUCAACUUCCAAAACCCCACAAAACCUCUGUCAACAUAUCUGCUCUACUUCAAUAUUAAGCACAUUCAUAGCGGUAUCAACAGCUUACAGCUCCAAAAAUAGUUUGAGAUUUCAUUGAAGCUAAGUUGUGACUUGUGACUGUCCAAAUGUUCUGUCACACGAAAUGAUUAUUCUUGUAACACAAAUCCAAUAGCAUGCAAUAUAAUCUACUCUCUAACACUGUGCAUUAGUAAAAUAAAACAGAGUAAAAAGAGAAACCAUGCCUGUGAAUCUCUUCUCCUACCCCCACCACCCCUUUUUUUGGUAAAGUCUAUCAAAUGAAAAUGCAGCAUGACCACAUUGGCCACUACCACUGCCAUUACUCCUUCAACUGUGCCCUUUGUUGCAAGAAAUCCUCAAGUGAAAGAUGGAUUAUAUAAUUAAAGAUUCCAAUAGAAGCAGCAAAGGUUGCCUUCCACUAGCCUAUCAGAGAAUAUGCUUUCUAUUUUCCUAGUUUUAAUCAAAAUUUUGCAAGAUUUAUUUAUGGAAAACUUGGACAAAAUUUUAUGUAAGAUACCAUAAAGCCAAACACAAUCUUUUUAAUUCUCAGCAGCAACAUUUAAAGUAAAAAGAUGGAAGCCAUAUAAAUAUAACUAUAUUUGGUACGAGGAACAAUUAUUUCAAGCUUUCAGAAAUGCUAGCAAGAAAUUGUAAGAGAACUUUACCUAGUCACAGAAUAUGUCAAGCAUACUACCACCAACUGUCUUUAGCACAAUUGUUAUGAAGUAGCCUCUGAAUCGGAAGAUUCAAGCUUCCACCAGGCACAAUUAUUUUCAUUCUCCAUACAAUCUGCAGCAGUGGCAUGAGUUAUAUCAUCAACAUUUGCAUCCUCACUCUCAUCACCCCAAUCAAGGCUUCUUCUCCACCUCUGGAUUAUAAGUCCGCUUCGACAUCUUCAAACAUCUCGGUCCUUCCAUUUGCAAACAACCGAUAUGGCUUCUUUCCUUGCCUUCCUCAUCAUUUAUAUCCCCCCAAAAAAGGGUCUUUAGACACCUCAACUUUGCCUUCUGCAAAACCUCCACAAAAUCUGAAUUAUCCAACACAACAGCUAGACGCUUGAUCCUUCUUUUGUCCAUCAUAUCCACCGCAUGAUUCCUCAACAAACAUCUGCAGCUUGUGGCUUAUCUAACACUGUCCUGACCCAAAACCCCACUCUUGUCAACUCAUCUGCCAAACCAUAACCCACUUUUGGAGUCAAAAUUGCAAAACCCCACUCUUGUCAACUCAUCUGCCAAACCAUAACCCACUUUUGGAGUCAAAAUUGUCCUUGCAGCCCUUUUAUAUUUUUCCAUCUCCAUCGAAUACUUGCCACUCAAAUGGAAUUACCAGACAGGAAUCCCAGUAACACCUCUAGCUGAUUCUACGAUUCAACCUCUUCUUUUGUUUACACUCAUGAAUUUGGAUAAAAUAAUUAACAAGUUUGUCAUUAUUAUAAAAUCUCCUUUCACAAACACCACAUAAAUAUGGCUCAGCAGGCUUAAUUACACCCUUGCUUUCCAAUUGGUUAAACAAUUUUUCUCCUCUUUGCUCUCUUACAACUUGAGGCACAUAACUAAAUGCAUGGCUAUUGGCAUAUGCCACCAUGUAUUUAACAACCCAAGUGAAGAUAUUGAUUUGAGGGUUUGUUGUCCAAAUCCCUAAAAAUUCACACAUUGCGUUGGACAGUUUUUAGUUCUACAAUUAAUGAUACGUUAUGUGAAUUAAGCUCCAAAUUAGAACAUCUAAACAAUGAGACAAAUGGGCUCUAGGUUUCUAAUCAGUAAACAUCGUUCAGUCGCAUAAUUUAUGAAAUUUUUGAAACAUCACUACAGCUACAGGUCUUUAUGUGUCAAUGAACUGCAGAAACUAAUGAUCUACUAGUAGUAGACGUUUGUUGUCCCCACCGUUCCAGGAAGAAAAAUAAGUAGAAGAACUACUUUUAGACCAAAAUUAAAAAAUUGAAACUAUCUUGAAAGACUUUCCCUUCAACUAAGUAAAAAAGAAAAGAAAAAAGGUAUUAGACAAGCAUUUUCAAAGGAAAAAGAUCAUCCAUUUAUUGUAUGUACUCAGGAAAAAUAAAUGUACUAAUAGGUAGAAACACAGCAAUAAAACUCAAAAACUAACAUCUAUAAAGCUCAAUAACAAUUAUGAAUUAGAUAUUUUGUCCCUUCAUAAUUCCUCCUCUUGACUUCACAUUUCCCCUCAGCCCGUGAUAAUUUUACCUAUUGAAUUCACAUUUCCCCUCAUCCAUUGAACUUUCCCAAUAACAAGAUGAGUCUAAAUCAUCAAUCUCAUUAAACACUCACAUCUACUAAAUAAUAUCACAUGCAGUAACUUUAAGUAAGGAUCUAAAACUUACAAGAAAAAGAAAACUACUGUUUAUUAAUUUCAAAAUUUACACAAAAUUACAAAUGAUUUUAUAAACUGUACCAAAACAUGUUCUCUAAAAGAGAUUCAUUAUCCUGCAUUUUCAAAAACAAUAUAAACUAACACUAGAAUAGCCAUUUGAUAAUGAUGUGAAUUUGGGCAGCACCAAGAAGCAGUGAGCCCCAUUUGGUGAAAGCAAAAAGAAAAAAAAUUAAAAUAAAGCACUAUAAAUUCUAAUCAAAUUAUUAACAUUAGUUACACAUCAAGAAACCAGAAUAAAAUCGUUAUCUAAACCACAUACUGAAAAAGAAAAAACAAUGCAGUUAAAAUUCUAUCAUUUUCACUUACAAACAAAUAAAGAAAAAAUUAAGAACAAAGGUUGAAGCAAAGAAUGAUUGUACCUUGAGGUACUUGAGGUUAAUGUUUCCAUAAACGAGACCGAGCGAAAAAGCCGAAACCAGAGCAACCUAUUCUUACUACUCAAAAACCCGCCCAGAUCAGAAAAUAAAUGAUCAUUCAAUAACAAUUCAUAAAAACUCCAUCCCAUCGCGAUCAUUCAAUAACAAUUAAUAAAAACUCCAUCCCAUCGCAUUUAAAACAAAACAAAGAAAAUAUUGAUUAGAAAAAAAAUUACACAUGGAAUAAAAGAAUAUAAAAAUGGAAUUACCAGAGGGAGCUAGUGCCGGAGUAGGAACCAGAAGGCAGCGCCAUAUGCUGCUCUUGUUAUGGUUUUCCUUCUUGUGGGCCUGCGCUGAAGUCGAAGAUGAAGAAACAAGAAAAAGCCAGCAAAUUGAGAAAUCGACUACCAUCUUCGAUUCCGACUCGCAUGGCCAUUUUUCUUUGAUGAAUGAAAUAUUGUUUUACUCCCUAAUUCUUAACCAAAUUACAAGUUUUGACUUCUGUUUGUAUGUUCUUUCAUACGGGUUCUUGUUCACAGGAAUAACAAAUGGGCCGGACGUGUGGCUAAGCCCGGGCCUGGUGUCGAUAGCCAGGCCUGGGCUUUUACGAGCCCAGGCAUUUAAUUCUGAACAUAAUCCUUAUAUCACUUCACUUUUGUAAUCGUAAUUUUAUUGUACUGAAAAUUAUAUAAACGAUUAAUAUGAAUUUAAUUAAACAAACAUGUCUUUACAACUCAUGCAACCUUACUAUUUUCUAAUCCUAAUAUGUGAUAUAAUUAAUUUUACUGAUAAAAUCAAAAUAAUUUUUAAACAAUGAAGAAAUAAAUUAUAAUAACAGUAAAUUUAUUAUGAAAAAGUAUGUUUACAAAAUUUAUUUUAAAUGAUAUGAAAUCUAAUAAAAAUUCUAUUCUAAUUUUAUGUCCUUUUUUACAAUUUUAUUAAAAAGUGGGAUUUCUUAAGAUUUUAGAAGGAGUGUUGGAAUUCUAUUUUUCCAGCUUUGAAUUUUAGUGGCCUCUUUAAGGCCCCAAAAAAAAAAGCACCGGUCCUCUAUUAUUUCAAAUAAGUUCAAGCCCUAUGUCAUUAUUGGUACAAAAAUGUAUUAGAAUGGUUAAAAACUAUUUUUAUUUAACUUAUAAACUUAGGAAAUUAUCAACUGUCCGCCCUUAAAUUGCAUUGUUAUAAAAAAUAUUACAACAUUUCACCUUGAAAUUGCAUUGUUAUAAAAAAUAUUACAACAUUUUUCAGGUUGUAUCAUUCAUCUACCAUAAAUUUACAAUCUGCAUCAUUUAUCCACCAAAUCAUUAACUUCGUUAAAAAGUGAUAGACGUCACAAGGGUAAUUUAGACAUUUAACACACAAAAAAAUAAAAGAGAAAUUAUCUAAGCUUACCAUGUUAUCAAAAUUGCUACAAAAUUUUAAAUUUGUUCAAUUUUCCAAUCUAAGUUUAUGACCUCCAAGAUGUUAAUUGCAGUUUGUAAUUAAUGACUUCAUAAGGAUAAUUUAGACACUCAAUAUGCAAAAUAAAAAAUAAAAUAAUGGCUUAAAACAUUAAAACAAAAAACUACUUUUUAUAAUUGAUAUUCAAUUAAAUACACAUAAACUCUAUUUUUUCUUAAUUAAAAAUAUUCUAAUUUAUUUUCUCAAUUUAUCAUCAUAAAUUUACAUUAAUAAACUAAAUCCACAAAUUACCCUAAACCCUAAUUCAUAAAUGCCCAAUCAAUCAAAUAGUUUAAUUCGAUUUCAUAAUUAAAAAAGCUAAAUUUAUUAUAUUAGUUAUGGUGCAAAGUCAAAAAUGCCCUUAAAUUCAAGGGUAAAAUAACAUUUUAUUUAAAUUCUAUAAAUUAUUCUAACAAUGUUAACAUUUUAGUGGACGGUUAAUAUAAGUUACAAACUUAAAGUAGAAAAUCAAAUAAAUUCAAAAUUUCAAACUCAAAAAUUUCAAACUAUUUAAAAAAAAUUUAGGAUAUAUGGUUAAUAAUUUUCCUUUAUCUUUUUACGUUAAAUUGAAUUUCAAAAGUAAAAUGGUCAAUUAAUAUAAUUCUAUUAAUUUUUUAAUGGAAGCAAACGAUAUAAUGGACGAAUGAUAUAAAUUGUAAAAUUAAGGUGCAUGAAUGAUACAACUUUAAAGUAUUAUAAUAAUUUUAAUAAUAGAACAAUUUAAGGGUGGAUUGGCAAUAAUUUAAACUUUAAUGAAGCAGCUAAAAAAAUUUUUUAACAAAGAAAAAUAAUUGAAUGCUUUGUGAAACCAAAAAUAAUUGAAAUGCUUUAAGAAAAAUUAAGGAAAUUAAAUAUCUUUAUAAAAACAUAAUUGAGUAAAAUCAUUUUACAAAAUGUUAUUUCAAAUGCACAUUCCACAAGCCAAGAAGAACGGGUGGCUAACAAAAAUCUCACUUUUUAUGAGUUUAUAAAAUCUCACCUUUGCAUAAUCCAAAAAUAACAAAUACUAAUCACACAAAAAAUAAAAAUUAUUGCUGUCACGACAGUACACACUUUCUUCGCCGGUCCUCAAUACAAAAUGCGUGCUACAACUAAAUUGGCCCAAUUAAUGCCCAUCGAAAAGGCCAUCAACAAUUUUGUCAAAAUUUCAACAAUUGAAGAAAUCUUGAGAUACAUAAAACAAAGUCUUGAAACAAAUAUUAACAAUCCAUCUGCAGAGGAAGUAUGGAACAAAGCUUAUUAUUAGCUUCUUGUGUGAACUGAACACGCUGAACAAAGCAUUUUUUUUUUGGAUUUUUGGAAUUUUUUAAAGUCAUUUAUGUUCGCUGUCAUCUUUUUCUUCGCUGGCGUCUUCAUUGGCAUCUUCCUCGUCUGUAGUUUGCUGUGUCUAUAUAUCCAACCAAUAAAUUGGGCAUUAAAUACGAAUGAAUGAUGAAUAAAAUGAUAAAAAAAAAAAACAAACAGAGAAAAUUAUAAUAUAACACAUAUAUAUAUUGAAAGAGAAAUUUUGAUUUUAGGAUAGAUCAAUUAGCUAUCACAAACGAAAACAUGAACCAACUAUGUAUAGAGUCAAUUAACUAAAAGUUCUCAAGAAUUACCUCUGGUCCAGAAUUCUCGGAAUCAUCUUCUCCUUCUGAACUUGGACGAAACUUGGGACAAUUACGAACAACUUCAUCGUAUUUAGAAGAUGGAAAUGGGAUCUGAUAACCCGCAGGCCAAAAGUUGGUGAGGUUUGGUAAAUCUCUCAGUUCCAAGCUUCGAAGUUCAUUCAUAACAAUUUCAUUGUAAUCCGUGACGUCUGCUCCAUCUUUAUGCCAGAAUACUUCUUCUAAUUCAUCAUUAGCUGUUAUGCAUAGGUACUUCAGUUUUUGAAGACUUGGAGCUACGCUGAUAUGAAAUAGAUGCUUUAGUUUGGGGCACCAACAGACAUAAAUGCUUGUGAGUUUUGGGAAACAUACAGGUUGGAGAUGAUCCUCAUCCUCAUCCUCAUCAAUGAUUUGCUCUAAUCCCCGACAAUUCCAAAUAGAUAACUCCUCCAAUUGCAGCAGAUUUCGAGCAAGUGUUGAUGAGAAGAGACGUCUCAGCAUAGUGCACCCGUUUACAGUUAAUUCGGUAAGACUUUGCAGGCUAAAAUUAUGCGUGGGACCUUCAUGAUAUAAUAAUACUUGCAGUUCUCGAAGGUUUUCCAACUGCACCUCCUUCAAACAUGGGAAUAGUUUGUUUUCUUCUCCUUCAGCGAUAAUAGCUUCCAAUUGAAAUACCACCUGUACUCCCAGUCGUCUAAUACGCAAUUCUUCCAAAUUUUUUAAUCCGUGCUUCAACAGUGCUGGAAUCGUGUCACUCAAAUGGGAACAACUUUCCACAUAUAGACUUCGUAAUUUCUGAGACAAAUAAAUAAAUAACUUGAUGCAAUUAAAAUCUAUUAGCAGCUAGGAUUAUCACAUGAUAAGUGAUGAACACCGCAAAAAUAUCAUAAUACAUAUGUAAACUAAUAAAAUAAUUAAAAAGUAAUGGAUUCUUAAAAAAAAUUGAAAUUAGUUAAAAGAGAUCAUGUGAAGUGAUAUAAAUGUGACAUUAGAUUGUUUUAGAAAAAUUAUUAUUCUAUUAAUUUAUAUGGCUUGAUCAACUAUUUAAUUGAAUUUGAAUAACAUUAUAUACACUUAAGAAGUAUUUGCAUCAAUUCUUUCUAAACCAAAAUGAAAUAUGACUUUCAUUUGAAGAAUGGUUUUAGGCCCUAUAAUAAAGAAAUUUUCUUAAGAUAUCUGAGCAUUACUAUUAUCAUCACCACAUCCACCACCACCAUCAUCAUCUCCAUAGGAUCAAAUAAUUAAUGGCUGAUCAUAAAAUUUAUUGCUAAACUAUCAUUUUGAGUAAAAUUGAAUGAAAAGAAAAAAACAUGAACCCAAACAAACAUACCUCUUCAAGAUACUGCAAAUUGGCUUCAAGUUCAGUACUGUUGACAGUCAAGUUGGGACAGUCCUUAAGGCGUAUCUUUUCCAAUGCUGGCCAAAUUGAACAAUAAUUUUUUGAACAGAAGCUGACGAGUUCUGAGAGAUUUCGAAGUGUUAAUUCUCUUAACAAAGGGAGGGCGAGCAUCGUAUUUCCAUCUCCGACACUUAUUUCCCCUUCAUUAUGAUCAAACUUUGCUUCGACAAUAUAUUCCAGUCUCUCGCAUCCACUUACAUUGAGACUUUUAAGCUGCUCCAAACUUCUAGCUUGUGAUAACGUGAAGAUAUAUGUCAACUUGUUGCACAUAUGCACAUUCAAUUCUGUAAGAGUUUGGAGACUGAUCACAUGUUGGGCCGGCGCCUUCCAUAUCCACUUCAGUUCUGGUAAGUCCCACAUAGAUAACUCUGCUAAUCUUGAGAGACUCUUUCCAUGCGGCGACUUAGAGGCUUCCAUUAUGCAUUCUAAAUCUUCGCAAUCGCGGACAUCAAGACAAGUUAACUCAUUGAAGCCCCUUUCAUCUAUGCUUGGCACAAUAUUGUCACAACCUAUUAACCCACUCAAACGAAGAAAUUUCAGAUUUUGAUACAAUGCUGAAAAAAUAACGAGCGAGGUCGCCGCUUCAUGAGGGCAAUUCUCAAUGAUUAAGCUCCUUGUUUCAUCAUUCUUAAUGAUUAAGCUCCUUGUUUCAUCACCAUCUCCUUUACCUUUACAGAUGAUGUAUCUUUGCAAUUUCGGGAAUGUAAAGUGUUUUGGAAGACAUACAACAGAUCUGUCGGCUUGGGAGUUCAACUCAGCAAGCCUAGCAUUACUUUCUUCUGAACUCAUCCCUUCAACCUCCCAAUUUUUUAUCCGACCAUAAAAUUCUUCCAAUUGAGGAAAUUUUUUUAUCGUAAUGGGAGAAAUGGAGCCAGUAGCAAUAUACAGAAGUUUCAAUCUACGAUGUUCAUCCGACAAUUCUUCAAGAAUUUUAAUGGAAGACUUCUCGAGGAAAAGAAGUUCAAGCCUCUUCAACUUUCCAAGGAAAGACGCGUCACUCACCUCACAUCGAAUCAACUGCAGAACCUGGAGGUCGGUGAGGAUCUGAAGCGAUUUAAGUGAAAGAACUCCACCUAUUAUAGUGACAACUUUCAAUGCUGGCAUCCUUUCAAAAAAUUGUUCUGGAACUUGCAAUCGGUGGUCGUAUUCAGGAUUCUCCAAUCGCAAAAUAUGAAGGUUAGGGCAUGCCAAACCACUAGGAAGCUCUUCUUCUUUUUUAUUUCCCACCAAAGAGAUUCCUCUGUAUUGUUCCAGGCCUUCUUUCAUUACCCGUUCUGCCAAUCCAAUGCCAACUUUACUAAAAAAUUUCUUCUCCUCUAGAACUAUUGAGCCUAUCCAUAUGGCUACAUCACGAACUAUGUCAUGCAUUUUCACAGAUCUGUCAUUACCAGUGUCUAACAGCAGUGACGCAGCUUUGAGCGCGUUAAUUGUUCCAUGCAGUCGGCUUCUGGCAUUUUCUAUUGACGGAGCACAUUGAUACCAAAUAACCCCCACUGCGUAUCCAACCAAAUCCUCCAAAUAAAUCUCAUAAUCUUCUGGAAACAGAGAACACAACAAGAAGCAUAACUUGGACUCCUCACUAUUUAAAUUGUCGUAACUGAAUUUAAGACAACCGUAAACGUCUUGGUCAUCCUUGUCAAUACCUUCUAUUGCAUAGAGUUUUGCUUCCUUUAGGUUAUUUAGUGCUAGUUUCCAUUCAUCAGAUCCUUUUUCUCUUAGUGCACUUCCAACAGCUUCAAUAGCUAAAGGCAGCCCCUUACAUUCGUCGGCAACUUGUUUUGAAACACCAUCCAAGGAGGAGUCGUUUACAUUAAUACCGGCAUUCUUUUUUAGGAGAGUCAAUCCUUCUUCUGGUGUUAGUGUACCAAGUUCAAUCUGUGGGUAACAACCGAAAAAACCACAAAUUGACGUUUUGCGAGUGGUUAGAAGGAUUUUGCAACAAUUGUCUCUAUCACCAAUGGGAAUACCUAAUUUUUUCUCCAAGUCGAGUUGUUUCCAAACAUCAUCAAGGAUUAUGAGGAUUUUGCUGCCUUUACUCUCAGAAAACAUCAACCGCAAUCGAUCUGCUCUCUCUUUUUCAUCUGUCUCAUUUAACGCCCAGCCUAACGACUUUACCAGCUCACCUUGAACCUUUAUUAUAUCUGGAUCCUGAGACACAGUGACUAUCCCCACCUUAUCGAAAUCCUUUUGUUGCCGAAGUUGAUUGCCCACAAAUUUUGCCAGGGUUGUCUUUCCUACGCCACCGAGACCAUGCAAUCCCACCAUCUUUAUGCUCGCUUUUUUCAGGGCGUCAAUGAUCUGAUUGCGAGCUGAUUCUGUGGUCUCGAAGGUAGAAGAAAAAUAACUUGGUAAACUUAAUUCUCUCUCUAAUGUUAGAGGUUUAGGACGGGCAACUGUGCUGAAUUUGCUGCGGUCUUGUAGCAGAUCGGACAACUUGCUAGUCUUCUUUGAAGCUUUUCUACCCAGCCAGUAUCGCCAACCCCAAUUAGGACACCAUCCAUUAAGACAACUCUUCUUUUCAUCUAUCUUUGCUUUCAAAUUUCGAACGUCGGCCAUUUCUUUGUCUACAUCCUCGAGCCAUGUCUCGACAUCUUUCUCGACUACUAUAGCACGGUGUAUUUGUCGUUCUUGUUCUACUCUUUCAUUGAUGCCAUCUUUUUCCUUCUUCAAAUUGGUUUCUUUAUCCUUAAGUUCUUUAUCUAUGCUGUUGAAACAGAGCAGAUAGCGAGCUUGGUUUAUGGUUGCAUCCGCCAAUAAUUCUCCAAGCUUUGAUGCAACACCUGAUAAAAUUUCCAUGCUAUUUAUCUGCAAUUAACAAGUUGAUCUCAGUAUGCUAUAAGCAAAACAUCAAGGCUUGAUCACAAGAUCGAACGAGAAUAUUUAAUUGCUUUAAUUUUCUUGUCAUUGAAACGAUGUCUCAUACCUUCUUCCGUUUAUAUCUUCAAUUACUGCUGAAAGCUCUGGCUAGAGAGUCGCACAAGCUCGGAGAAAAUUAAAAGCUGCAUCUAGCAAUAUAAAUAAACAUGAGAUCAAAACAACAUAGGAUAUAUCUAGCUAAUUAACAUCAUAUAUAACUCCUUGUUCUCAGUCAAAUCUUUCAUUCUUAGGAGAUUAAAAAAAAAUUGAAAUAAUAACUGUUCAGUGACAUAGGAUUAGGAAGCAAAAGUAACAUACCAAAACGAGAGCAGCUAGCUCACAGAUCUGGUGACUUCCAAGAGCAUGAAAAAUGAUUGAGGUUUAAUAGCAAGGUCCGGGUCAUGUUUCAUAAGUUGCUAUUGACUUCGUGGCUUCGCUUUUAUUUAUUAUUAUUGUUUUUUUAAAUUCUAUAUCAGUGAGAAUUGAAAUGUGGAAAGUGAAAUGAUACACAUGCUUUAUCAUCUAUCAUGAGGGGUGAUUUGGUAAAACCGAUUUAAAAUAAAAAAGUUUAAAAAGAUGCUUUGUGUCUGACUGCUUGUAUUUGGGAUAUUUUUUGGGUUGUUGAGAGUGAGUUUAAUUAAAUAUAAGAUUUUUAUUUUUUUUAUAUAUUUCUUUUUAGAAUGAAUUUAAAUAUUAGUCUUGUUAAAUUCUUUCUUUUUAAAUGAAAGUAGAUUUUUCUGUAUAAAUUUUAGGUGUAUUUUAUAAUUAAUGUUCAACGAAUCUCUAGGUUAUAUUAUAAAUAUUUUUAUUUAAAAUCUCAACAGAUGUCAUAACACACAAAGAAAAAUACAUAUAUAUAUAUUGUAAUGUUUUAAUGAUAAAUCUAUAAAGUUAUUAAGUUAAAAAAUAAAUAAAUAAAUAAAUAAAUACAUAUUUUAAUGUACUCUUACCAUUUUGGAUUGCAAUAAAGUGAAAAAUGGGUUAAUUUCAAAAAAGAAAAGGUGACAGUGAGUUGUCAAUUUCAUCCUUGUCGGCCAAUAAUACAUCAACCUUUUGCUGAAUUAUUAUCACCGACAAAAACAAAUUAUUGAAUCGGGUCCCGCUGACAGACAGCUUAUGUAAAGUUACAUUCAUAAUAAAUUGAUACUUGUCUUUAUUAUAAAUUGUUCUUUUAUUUAAAUAUGCGUUCAUUUCUUCAAUUAAGUCCUCAUAUUCGUUCAAUUUAUGAUAAGAUCCUUGUAUAGGAGCAUAUCUGCAUAUGUAAUAAUUAUUCUUCUAUUUCAGAUAGUUUUUGUGAAAAAAAGACUUUUAUCAAUUAUUUAUGUUGACUAAUUCUUAUGUCUUUUUUUAUUACUUUUCAUAGCUCUAUAUAAAUGUUUGCUAUAGAAUUUGUGUUAUUUUGCUAUAAUAUAAUUUAUAUUGUAAACCUCUGUUCAUCUGUAAAUAAAAUGACAAUUUUUUUUGUUUACUCCUAAAAAAUAUGAAAAUAUUAAUUUACUCUCAUAUUUAUUUAGAAGACAAUGGCAAAUAAGGUCGCAUUGAUAAUUUUUUUAUUUACUUAUUAAUUAAUUAGAGUAAAUUAAUAUUUUCAUAAUGAGAGAUACAUUGAAGAUUGUCAUUCUUAGUAGAGGGUAAAUUAAAGUUUAUCUAAUUAAUUUAAAAUAUCAUUAAAAUUUAAAAUUCUAAUCUGGAUUAGAUUUUCNNNNNNNNNNNNNNNNNNNNNNNNNNNNNNNNNNNNNNNNNNNNNNNNGGGGGGGGGGGGGAACGUCCUUAUUCGGAUUAGACUCAGCUGGAAGAGGCACAUCCUUAGCUGGAUCAAUUUGUUCAAGAUUGGAUGCAUCCAUCGGUUUCAAAUUUGUCUCUUGUAAGUAUCAUCGGAUUUCUUUACUAAAAUUUAGAUUAUCAAUCACAUCUAAAACUUAUUGAAUGAUACAUUUCAUUUCUAUAAAAUUGAGUUACUAUUACCACCUCAAAUCUUAUAAAUUCUAGAAAAUAAUCAAGGCUUGACAUACUUUUAUUUAUGCAAAAGCAUAAGAAAAUAAUUCAAAGUACUAAUUAGUGCACUAUUACUCAAAAUUCUAGAAUAGAUUUGCUAGUUCUCUUUAGCCAUAGAUUGGUCCAUGAUUGGCACCGCAAUAGCUCAGAAUCACCUCAACGAUUGUUCCACACAGCCCAACAUGACACACUGUAAACUAGUCUAACAUGAACUUUCUGAGUGGCUUUCUAACAAUAGUCUUAGAGAAAGUGUUUAGUAGUAUGAAGUCUUCUUUUUUUAACAUAAAUGUUGGCAUGAUAUUCUUAAUAUAUUUCUAAAAUCAAAAUAAGAUGCAUAGAGGACGAUGAUAAUUUUAUUUCAUAAUUGAAUUUUUUGCAAAGAAAGUUUGAACAUGAGAGUGAUGAGAGAUGAGAAUAUUGAUGAUGGUGUGUACUUUAGAUGGAAAAAUAGAUUGGAAAUAUAUAUAGACAUAUUAAAAGAAAAAAAUUUGGUCUAUUUCUUAAAAGAAACAAAAAAUUAUAAACGCGGGUGUUAAAAUGUAUUCAGAAUUUAUAAAUUUUUAUAAAUAUGAUAAUCAUUAGACCCUUAUAAAAGUAUAGCAAAAAGUUUAAAAUUUUUUAAUAAAUGUCGAAGAGAUGGACGAAGAAACCAUCCACCAGUUCAGAAUUAAUAAUCAAAGAUAUGAGGACUUGAUUGAAGAAAUGGUGAAAAAUAAAAGGACACUGGGUUGCUAUCAAUUUCUACCGUGUAGGUUCAUAGCCGGGGAAAUAAUUGGGCACAAAUAUCUCGGAUGAGAAAUAACCAUUUUAUCCCGCAACCAUAUGUUUAUGGCCUCUAAAAAUUUUCACCUCUUUCACAAUCUGGAACCCGUGCUUACUGGCACAUGCACAAUACUUGGUUGCUACUUAUAGAGCGUUUUUAGAAUUGCAACGACAUGGUGCUCUUUGAUAAUUCAAAAAUCCAAUAUAAUUUAUAGAGAAUUACAGAAUUGUUUGUGGUACGUGAUAAUUUGCUGAUGCAAUGAGGCGCCGAAAUUCUUAUACAUGUGAUUUAAGUUAUAUAUGUAUAAUUAAGUAAUUAGAAUAUACUAGUUGGGGGUAUUUGUGUCCAUGAAAAUUUACAAAAAAGUUUAAAAUACUAGUUGGGGGUAUUUGUGUCCAUUUUAAUUAGAAAAAAAUGCUGUUUCUGAUGAAAUAAAUGAAAAUUGAACGUACAAUCUGCCACGAACACUAUUUAAUUAACCGUUUAUUUCCCCUUAAAUUUUUAAUCUCAAUGAAACAUAGAUCUAAUGGGAACUACAUAUAUAUAAAAAUACUAUAGAUUGAAGAAGUUGAAUUUUUCUUGUGUGUUGAGUAUUUUUAGUUAAUACGAAAGGAUUCUAGCAAGUUAAUACAAAAGUAUAUCAUAAAUUCAUUGUAGUACAAGAGAUUUUUUUUUUCCUUUGAUGUUAAUAGUUUUCGAGAUAAAAAAAAAUUAGGUGAAAGAAGAAGAUGAGAGAAGAAAAAAUGUUAAGAAUAGUUUUGGCAUUUUGAUGCGUUUUAUAGUGUAAAAUCUAUAUUUUAUAGUAUAAAGUGGUACACCCAAAAUUUAAUGAUAAAAUUUUAGGAAAAAAUUGCACUCGUCAAAAAAAAAAAAAGGCUCAACUUAGCCCAAAAUUUUUUUAUUAAUCGUCUAGUCGCUAAUGUAAUCUCCUUUUUAUGAGAUUCUUUGGCGUUUUAAUUUAGUCCAUUGUUAGCAAUCCUAAUAGCUUUUAUGUGCAUCUAUUUUUAUUUGAAAUAUGUUUCAAGCUUGAAUAAAAUCUGCGGGACAACUGGUAAGUAAUAAAGCUCAUCAUUUUUUUAUUUUGAAAAUAAAGGGAAUCACUUACACUUAGCAUAAUAAAUUACACUUAGCAUAAUCACUUACACUUACACUUACACUAUUCAAUUACCCUUUUUUUUUUUUGAACUUUUGAGUUGUUGUUUAAUUUGUAUUAUAAUUAAUUAUCAUGGGCCCACGUGCCAUUGUUUCCAUUUCAAGUUUCAUAAUUUAUCAGUAGAAAUGGAUUCCACAGACAAUUUAUUUUAUAAUUUUUUAAAAAAUUACCAAAAUAUAAUAAAUAAGGUAAUAAUAAUUAAUAAAAAAGUAGAUUUUAAGAUGGAAAAAUCUUUUUGUGUACUUAAUAAAAAGAUGAUAAGAAUGGGAUGCUUUUGGUUAAUUGGUUUACAUUCUCAUAUCUAUUUAUACUGAAAAAUUACAUCAAAAUUUAAUUAAUAAAUCAGUGAACUGCAGACUUAUUAAAUUUAAGCUAUUUUAAUAAGUCAUAAAUAUACUAAAUUAAAAUAGUAAUAAACCCAUUGUUACACAAUACUCUCUAUUAUAGCUGUCUCAUGGAAAGCCUUCACCAAUAAAAAGGAGGAUAGAGCACAUACAUCCAGUUUUUAUACCCUUUGAUGCUCAGUCGACACGUGCCAAUGCUAUAGACUAGCUUAUAAUCUACUAAGGUGACGCAUGCCAAUGCUAUAGACUAGCUUUUCAAAGGUUGAAGUGGGUGUACAUUUAGUAAAAAGACCUGCACAAUUAUAGUGUAUCUAUUUGACAUCAACUUUUUUUAUCUGCUGGAGCUUAUGAUUAUAGAAGAUCUUCGGUAAGAUGUGUUUGAUUUUAGAAAAUCUCCUUUUAUAUAUCCUCCUCUAACUUGUGUAAUAGUAGUAAACCCCUGCCCCCUUUUUAUGUCGUUUAGUAUUUUCUAAAUGGCCGAAGGAAAAUUGGUAAAAACUCAUUUAAAAAUAAAAAUAAAAAUCAAAGAAAUUCAAGAAGAAGCUUUGUAUCGGCCAUUUGUAUUUGGGGUAUUUUUUUGGUUGUUAAGUGAAUGAGCUUAAAUCUAAAACAUUUAUUUAUAUAUUUCUUGUUGGAAAAAAUUUAAAAUUUAUUCUUAUUAGACUUAUUCUCUUUAAAUAAAGGUAGAUUUUUCUCUAUGUGUUUAACGUGUAUUUUAAAAUUAAUGUUCAACAUAUCUUUAGAUUCUAUUAUAAAUAUUCAUAUCUAAAAUCUCAACAUAUUUCAUAAUAUAUAAAUAUAUAUAAAGAGAGAGAAUAACGACUAUAUAUAUAUAUAGAGAGAGAGAGAGAAAUGUUUGCGGGAAAUAGUUUUAAAGGUUUAAACUGUAAGCUUUGAAAGCCGUGAAGUUUUAAAAGUUUCCCGAAUUUUCCCACACUUUAAAAUUACUGACCGGAAAACUAUUAUAUAUAUAUAUAGUUUUUUUAAAAAUAGACAAUUUAUGAGUUAAACAACGGACAUUUUUGUCGGCCAAUACAUCAACUUUUUAGCUGGAUUAUUACCACCAUCAAAACUAAAUUAUUGCAAGCACUAGCAAAAAGCAAUCAAUGAUUUCGCAAUUUGGCUGUCAAAAAGCAAACUAGAUCACGAUUCCUCAAUUAAAAAUGGUGCUUUUUUUUAUUAAAUAAGUGAAAAUUAAACCAACAAUUCAAAAUAUAGGAUUGUAGAUGCGUAUAAACUGAAGAAUAAACUGAAGAAGGUAAAAUUUUUCGCGUGUGUAAAUAUUUUAGUUAACAUGAAAGAAUUCUAACAAAGUUAAUAUAAGAGUAUCAUAGCAGUACAAGAGUAAAUAUAUAUAUGUGUGUGUGAGUGAAGGAAGAAAAAAAAAUUAAGAAUAAUUUUGGCAUUUUGAUGGGUUUUAUAGAGUAAAAUCUAUAUGUUCAAAUAUGAUAAUUCUUUAAUUUAAUUUGGUGUUAUGAAAUAAAGGGCAUUUUAAAUAUGUUUUAAGUUAUAAAUAACUCCAUCCAAAAUUUAAAAAUGAAAUCUUAGGGGGUAAACAAUUUCACCCGAACUAACAAAAGCCCUAGCCCGGAGGCCCAGAGUAGCCGCGGCUUUUUUCACCAAUCUAAUUAUUUACGAGGAAUAUGAGACUGAGAUUCUCUACCACUCCAAUUUAUCGCAUUGUUAGCAAUCCUAAUAGCUGUUAUAUAUCCUAUUUUUAUUAAAAAAUGUGGAUCCGAAUAUAGAAAUUUGGGAUCCGCACAAAUCUAGAUGCAAGUGCAUUCGGAAAACCAGAUAUCGAGAUCCGAAUAAAUUUUAUUUUAAAUUAAAAAUUAAAUGAAAAAUUAAGAAAGUAAAUUUUAUUUAUGGAUUAAUGAUGUCGUUGUAUAUUAUUCAUGUUGAAUUAUCAAUUGUUGGAUUAUGAUUGAAUUUUAUUUGAUAUUAUUGGGCAAAUUAUUGAAUUUUAUUUUAAAUUAAAUAAAAAUAAAAAAUUAAAUUUUAUUUGUAGAUUUAUGAGAUUAUUGUAUGUUAUUCAUUUUGGAUUGUUAAUUGUUGAAUUAUGAUUAAAUUUUAUUUGAUAUUAUUAGGUAAAUUAUUAAACUUUUAAAUUAUAUAUUAAAUUAUUUAAUUUUAAUUUUUGCGGAUCUGAAUAUUCAGAAUAUCCACCUGCAUCGGUUACGGAUAAUACCCGCAUCUGGAUCCACAUCUUUUUCUACGAAUCCAAAUAUAGAAAUAUGAAUGCGGAUCUAAAUUCGGAUUUUGCUGACCCUAAACCUAAGAAUGAAUGUGCCUAAAGUUUUUACAACGAACAUGGAUCAUUCAAUGACAUGACAUGUUUUGCAGCUUUCAUUAGUAUAAUUGAAUAAUUAAUUCAUCUCUAUAUUCAGCUUACACCGUCUCAAAUUACAUGCAAAUACGAAAGUACACUUCUGAAUCGUUCACUUGAGGAAAAUUAAUUUUAACUCAAUAAGUCGUAAUUCUCCACGUAGAAUUUUAAUUCAAACCAUAGCAAAUUAGACAUAAUUCUAAUUUAUAUGGGAAAUAUAAUUAGCGAAGACACUCUUUAUAUAAACAUUAUUGUCAUAGGAUGCCAAACCUAAUAAGAUUCAAGGUCUUAACAUACUUCAUAUGAAAUUUGAUCUUGGCGCGUACCGACACGCAUAACAUCAAGACUCUACUUCAUAUAUUAUAAUGUAACUUCAUGGAUUUUUCGCUCUCUUGUGAAAUUGACAAUUAUAGGCGCUGUGUGGCAGUGGUACAUAAUAAAAUAAACGUUUAUUUUUAGAAUAUUAUUAUUUAUCUCAAUUUUUUAUUUAAUAGUUAAUUUUAAUCAAUUCUUAAACUGUCAUAAUCAAUUAAUUUUUUACAUUAUGGCAUCUUAAAUAAAUUUUGGAUCUGUAAUAAAUAAAAACUGGUAACGUUUGUUCUUUUAAAGCAUAAAACAACCGUAACAUUGGUUUUUACAUUUUGAAUUUUUCUUGCAUCACUAUUUAGAAAAAUGAUGUUAAAUCAACUCACAAAAUAUAUCAAGCCAUCUAAAAUCCAAAUAUUAUUACAUUUGUAUUUGCAUUGUUAAAUUGUUGGAACGACGGCAAAGCAAUUGAAAAGAUAUUAACAAAAAAGUAAAGAUUGGCCAAGGAUUAUUCAUGUUUAGGAAAUGCCUUAACUUUUGAUAUAAUCAUUGUUAUAAUUAUAUUGUAGAAAUAAUCAAUUACCUAAUGUUUGUGGUGGUAAAAAUUAUUAACUUGUUUUAGUAUACCCGUGUUUAUGGUGGUCUCCUUUUUGUCCAAUUCUGUACAACAAAAUAUUUGCAUGUUUUGAUAGAAAUUGGUUUAAAUGACAUUUGAAAUAGUAUAUCCCCAAACAAUUAACGAAAUAUUUGGAUGGUAGGAUGAAGUAAUAUAGUUUUACAAAUUACCAUAUUAGAGGUUAAAAAAAAUCAAGAGGUUACUAACUACAAAUUUUAACACAAAAAGUUUAAUUAACUUUUCUUUUUGAGAUAACAAAAUCUCUGGUGUUGAAAACAAUGAGGUUUGAGGUUCAAGCUUGAAUAUCAAGUUACAAUUAGUAGAUGGUCUUAGGACAAAUCAAAGAUUUCUUUAAAGACAAAAUAAUAAUUACAAGCAAUAGGAAUUUAUGGUAUUCAGAACAUGUAACCUUCGCACAUGAAGCUUGAAUCCAGAACAAGAAUCACAAGAUGCAGCUAGCCAAUCCUUCCAACUUCCAAAACCCCACAAAAUCUCUGUCAACAUGUCUGCUCUACUUCAAUAUUAAGCACAUUCAUAGCGGUAUCAACAGCUUACAGCUCCAAAAUAUUUUCCCCAAAAAGAGUGAGAGAUUUCACUGAAGCUAAGUUGUGACUUGUGACUUGUGAGGCCAUCUUUUUUUAUAGUAAUCGUACGCCUCUAAUGCUUUGCCAAGUGUCCAUUGAUAAUAUCACAAGGGCAAUUAAAUUGGUGUAUGUGUAUUACACCUCCUAAAGUCAUGUUAAGAUAGUUAGUGAGCCGAUAAAGUUUGUUGCACGUGUGAGUUGGUUAAGUCUGCUAGAAUUGUAAACAUGUAAAGCUGAGUCAGCAAGUUAGUUAAGGUUAUUAUGAAUGCUUAGAUUCAGCUAGUUAGUUAAGGUUAUUAUGAAUGCUUAGAUUCAGCAAGUUAUGGUGUUGAAAAUGCUGUUGGUGAAAGCUCAGCUGAUAGAUGUCAGGAGAAUCCAGCCUUUGUUGCUUGGAAAAGGUAGGAUCAAUUGUUAUUAAGUUGGCUCAUGUCCUCCAUCAGUGUUGAGAUACUUAGUCUUGUGGUAAAUUCUGAUUCUUCUCAUAAACUUUGGACUAAUCUUGAAGAAAAUUUUUGGAUUAGAAACUAUGGCUAAGAAAGCACACUUAAAAAUGAUGUUAAGCAAUCUCAGAAAGGGAUCAAUGACAAUAACUGAGUAUUUUGCCAAACUUAGAGCUGUAACUAAUAAACUUGCUCUAACUGGUAGCCCUGUUUCUACUCUAGACUUUAUUACUCAUCUAAUCUCUAGAUUAGGCCAGCCAUACUACCCUGUUGUUUUGUAUAUUGAAGCUAAUAUGAUGAAAAUAUUUGUCAAUGAAGCCUACUCUAUGCUUUUAACUCAUGAAGCAAGAAUUAAAUUUAAUCAUCCGAGUGCAAAUAAAGAAGCAAAGUUGAAUUAUGCUGCUAACAUAGCUUAGGCUGGACCUAGUAAUAACAAUAAGAAGUCUAGUAAUCAAGCUAAUUACUAUCAGGGCAACCAAGGUAACUGGAAUAGAAAUGCUAAUUGGUGUGGUAACAAUGGAGGAAGAGGUGGCUUUGGCAGAGGUUUUUCAGGGCAAGGAAGGAGUAAUUAGAAUAAUGGUGGUCAUUGGAACAAUGGACCUUGGAGUAGUAGUCGAGCAGGUUAUAAUUGUUCUGAUAUAAACAUUAUGACAUGGUUGUUGGUGAACCUGUAAACAUAACCACAAAAGUAAGAAGACAUAAUCUUUUUAUAAGAAACUCAAAAAUGUAUUAAUGAUGAAAAUUUUAAAACAGAUAGUGGACCAGCUGUUCACUAAGAAAACAAAAAAUUGAAUAUUAGUGCUAUAAAAAGGCACACCCAAUCUCACCCCUAUAAAAGGCUAGAAUCAGCUACAAAUCCCUAUCUCAAAACCCCAUCCCAGUUUUAGAUGAAUGAAGAAAAAAGAUGAAUCUUGAAACUCCUUAGAAACUGAAGCCCAAAGUGAAGCAAGAAGAUGAACUCUAUCCCAAGCAAGCAAUAUGGCAUAUUUCUCCAUUAAUGGUUCAAAUAAAGUGAAUGGCUUUCUCUGAUGAAUGGGAAUUGUCAAGAUCAAUAGUCAAACUCACGCAAAGUAAACGGACUUAAUUCUCAGAGGCUACUCAUUCUAAGUCUUAAGUCUUAAAGAAAAUUUUUCUAAUUUCUAAAGAUUAUAUGGGGAAAAAUCAUUAUUUUCUAACAUGGAAAAUUUGAUACGGUGUUUAAUGUCCGAUCACAAUCAUAAUAUGAGUACUAACAAAAACAUCUUUAAUCGGCAUGGUGCGAGUAAAACACCAUCACUUCAUCUUUGAUGGAAAGAUGAUAAUAUAAGGAGAUGGUGAAAUGGUUUUAGUCCCUGGUAGCUUGUAAUUAAAAGAAAACAAAAAACUACACUAUUAUUAAUGAUUACCGAAGCUACAGAAGUAUCAAAAUCGGAAAGCAAACAAUUGCAAAACACAUCAAUGACUGGAGGUUAGGUUCUAAAACUUCCGCAUUUAAUUUUCAGAGCAUGUUAUGUAUUAUUCAAAAAUAUGCUUUCACUUCAGGCACUUGACCAAGACGCAUUAAACAUAAAACGCGGCGUUUUCAUGGACUAGUACAUUCCAUGCUUCGAAAGUUUAUGUUUUAGACUGAUUGGUUUGAUACAUUAUUUGUUUAUUGCGUUUUUCUUGCUUUAAAUAUUAUGUUGGAUUGAUAAGUUUUGUACACAUUUUAUAUUGCUCGCACUAAAUAAUUUAUGACAUUUAAAAAACUAUCAACCGUCUAUCAAAAGAUUUCUACUAUAAAUAUAUAUACACAAAAAACUUUUAAUUUGGUCAAUUUGUUCUCUUAUUUAUUUUUGUUCUAUUUCUCUUUUCCUUUCCUUUCAUUUUAUUGUUUUACGGUACAAAAUAAAAAAAAUAACCUUAAAAUUUAAGAGUAAAAUACUCAUUUUACUAAAAUUCCAUUUAAUAUUAUAAAGCUGUCAAAUGUCAAUGGCGUAGAACACGAGUGAUACAAAUUAAAAACAAUAAAUUGAAAGUUUUUAUGCAUUUUCCUUUUAUUUUUUUUUAUAGUCGAUUGAGAUUUCCCUUUAUAUUUUUAAAUUCAAUAGGUUUAGACCGUUUAAAAAAUCUUAAAUUAAAAAAACCCGCAGUGUAAUAACAAACUCACAUCAAACCCUGUACACUGUCAUCCCUAAUUAUAUUUACCACUUCAUACUCACAGUGAUAAUAACUGUGUAUCACAAUUGAUUUUGCAUACGGGUAAAAGUUCCAAGUCCGGAUAUUUAGUUAAUGAAAUUUGAUGAAAAGGGCAUGAAAGAAAAUAAGAAAUUAAAUAAUACAGGAGGAAUUAAUCAUUACAUCUUUAGUUAAUGAAAAUUGAUGAAAAUAUUUCUGCAGACGUGAGCCGUAAUUAUAUUACCGCUAAGAAUGAAGCAGAAGAGUUUCCCCAAACAAGCUAAAACACAGCACUUUAAUUUAAAGAAUUUUUAUAUCACAGUACCGGUGCAAAAAGUUUAAUGCAACAACAUACAUUAAGUUAAUUCCAUAAUCUAUCCCCAAAGAAAGACAAACACAAGCUUAUAAGAUUAAAACUUUGGAAAACAUUAAAGAGUGAGACAAAAUUGUGUAAUCUUCAGAGUUUGGAGCCUAGUUCAUCCAGGAAAGCAAAAGAAAUAAUAAUAAUAAUAAUAGUGGUGGUUUGAUCUCAAAAGGUGGCAUCAAAGUGGUAACUUUGAGGUAUUGGAAGCAAUAACGUCUUCAACUUUGUCCUGAUUUCAAAGUCCCUUAAACCCAUCCGCCAUCAAUGGAUUGAAUGCUUCCAUUCAACCCAUCAUCCACAAAAUCACCAACCCGUUUCACCUUCAUCUCCUUGGGCUUAACAGGGUACUUUCCAGAGAAGCAAGCAAAACAAAAAUUCCGAGAAUCAUCGCCUAACAACUAGUUCAAGCUGUCAAUCGGCAGAAAAGCAAGCGAAUCACACCCAAUAAACUCCCUGAUUUCCUCAACGCUCAUCCUGUUGGAAAUAAACUCCUCAGUACUUGUCUACUCCGUAGUAACAAGAAGCUAUGAUUGGUGGGCUUGCAAUUCUCAUGUGAACCUCUUUAGCUCCAGCCUCCUUAAGCAACCUAACAAUUUUUGAUGAAGUUGUUUCUCACACUAUCGAAUCAUCCACAACCACAACUCUCUUUCCCUCCAACCACAACCUUACAGGAGAGAGCUUAAGCUUGACACCAAAGUCCCUAAUUUUCUGGGAAGGCUCAAUGAAAGUUCUCCCAACAUAAUGUGACCUUAUCAACCCUUGUUGAAAUGGCACCCCGGCUUUCGCAGCGUACUCAAGUGCAGCCACCACUCCAGAAUCUGGUACUGCAAUCACAACAUCACACUCAACAGGAGCCUGGGUAGCAAGUACUUCCCCAAAAUGAUACCUCGAUUCAUAAACAGACCUUCCAAAAACAACAGAAUUAGGCAAAGCAAAAUAAAUAUGCUCAAAGAUGCACUGCUUAGGUUCAGGGUGAGGCAUCAAACAAGGUGAUUGAACCCCAUCUUCAUCCACCAUCAAAACUUCACCGGGAUAUACCUCUCUCUCUCUCUCUCUCUCGUAUGUGGCCUCAAUCAAAUAGUGCACAAGUCUCUGACGCAAAAACCAGAGCACCAUUACUCCUCCUACCCAUCACCAAUGGCAUAAACCCAUACGGGUCACGAACCGCAACAAGCUUAUCCUCAGUAACAAACACCAUUGAAUAAGCACCCUCAAGCUUCUCACAAACAUCCAAAAUCCUCAAAAAGAACGGCCUAGCUUUCGAUAUCGGAAUCAAAUGGAGAACAACCACAGUAUCAGAACUAGUAUUGAAAAUGGAUCCAUUAUCUUCAAGCUUAGCCCUCAAAGUAUUAUAAUUAACUAAUGUGCAACACCAACAGAACCAAACCUGUACCCAGCAACAAAAGGCUGCACAUUCUUAAGCAUAGAACUACCCGCUCAAAGAAAAAACAGAGGAGGUGUGUGGAGGGAGACAGUGGCGAAGGGUACUUUAAGUAGAGGGGAACUUGUUCUAGGUUUUUUUCUGGAAUUGUGAGGAAAUCUGAUCCUGUGUUCAUGCAUAUGAUUCAAUUACUUAUAGGUGAUAUUGUUGUGUCACCACAAAAUCUAAUUGGGAAGCUUCAGCUGUCAAUUCUUUUCUGAAAGAAAUUGAGAGAAAAUAUUGUUUGGUUGCUGAGAAAAUAUCUCAGAAAAUUCUCUAACAGCCCCCCUCAAACUCAAAGGACAAGAGUGAACAUUGAGUUUGGCCCUCAAGUAAUUAAACUGUAUGAAGGAAAGAGGUUUAGUCAUUAUGUCUGCAACUUGAUCUGCACUUGCUAUAUAUUGAAUGCUGAGCUCCUUAUUAAGAACCUUGUUGCGAAUAAAGUGUAUGUCAAUCUCAAUGUGUUUUGUUCUGGAAUGGUAAACUGGGUUCUUGGCCAAUUCAGCUGUACUAAUGUUAUCACACCAAAUAAUAGGUUUAGCUGUGCAGCAUACUCCAACUUCAGCAAACAAGGACUACAACCAAGUUAAUUCUGCACUAGCUGAUGCUAAUGCCCUGUACUCACUCUCGGCACUUGACCUAGCUAUUACUCCUUGCUUUUUAGAAGACCAUGAUAUAAGAUUAUUACCCAGGUAGAUACAAUAUGCACUCACUGAUUUCCUGUCAUCUAAAUCACAUGCCCAAUCAGCAUCUGUAAAUCCAGUAAGCUCCAUAUUGCCUUCUUUGAUGAACUUUAAACCAUAGUCCUGAGUGGCCUUUAGAUAUCUUAAAACCCUUUUACAUGCCAUGAGAUGCUGUAGUGUAGGAGCAGAUACAUACUGACUGAGUUUGUUAACUGCAAAAGCAAUCUCAGGUCUUGUCAAAACCAGAUACUGCAUGCUUCCAACAAUGCUUCUAUCUGCUGUACCGUACAUCCGCCUUGGCCGUACAGCAGGAACUGAACACGCUGAACAAAGCAUUUUUUUUUUUUUUGGAUUUUUGGAAUUUUCCAAGAUAUCAUCCACAUAUAUCAACACAAGAAUCAUGGAAGUAUGACUCCUUUUCAAAAACAGAGAUGUAUCAGAAGUAGUAUUAGUGAAUCCCCACUGCAGCAAGCAACUCUUAAGUUUAUCAUACCAAGCUCGAGGAGCUUGUUUAAGUCCAUAAAGAUACUUGUGCAAUUUACACACAUAACCAGGCUUUGUGUUGUCAAUAAAACCUGUUGGCUGAGACAUAUAAACUUCUUCUGUCAAAUCCCCAUUGAGAAAUGCAUUAUUGACAUCAACUUGUCUAAUUUUCCAUUUGUUCAUCACUGCUAAGCUUAAUACCACUCUGAUAGUUGCUGGUUUAAUAACUGGACUAAAAGUUUCAAAGUAGUUUACCCCUGCAAUUUGUUGAAAACCUUUGGCAACAAGCCUAGCUUUGUAUUUGGCUACACUCCCAUCAGUGUUGUAUUUAAUCCUAUACACCCACUUAUUAUCCACAAUCUGUUGAUCAGUCUCUUUAGGAACCAGAGACCAAGUAUUAUUGUGAACUAAGGCAUCAUACUCAUCUUGCAUAGCCUUCACCCAUCUGGAAUCACUCAAAGCUUCUUGCACUGAAUCUGUUUCUUUGUGAGUGAGAAUGGCUGCAUACACUUUUGGUUUAAAAAUGCCAGAUUUGCUUCUGGUGGUCAUAGGAUGAAUGUUGGAUUGUAUUUGAGGUAAGUCAACAGUAGGAGUUAAUGAUGUUGUAUUAUCAGAAGCAGAGGCAGAUAAGAAAUGUUGUGUAUUAACAGGUAGAUGAGUUUGAGAACUUACUUGCUGUGAAUUUUGAUCAUUUGUUGGUUGUGCAGGAUUUUCUAAGUGAGUUGAGUUGCUGCUGUCAGGGUUUGCAGAUAAGGAAUAACCAGUGCUAUUUUCAGUAAAUGAUUGAACAACAGGCAAAGUGGAAAGAUGAUAUAUUUGCUGAGGAGAAAAGGAAGUAGAAGAAAGAGGUGAUGAUGAUGACUCAGUGAAACAAUGAAAGCUAGAAUCAGUAGAGUAAGGAAAAGUGAGUUCAUCAAAUGUGACAUGUCUUGCUAUGUAAAGAUGACCUGAAGGAUGUAAGCACUUGUAACCUUUGUGUGAUGAACUAUAUCCUAGAAAGAUACAUUUGCUGGAAUGAUAGUCAAAUUUGUGUUGGUUAUAAUCCCUCAAGUAAGGAUAGAAUGCACAACCAAAACACUUAAGCAUAUCAUAGUUGGGUUGGUGUUUGAAAAGUUUCUCAUAGGGAGACAAAAGUUUGAGAACAACAGAAGGCAAUCUAUUUAUGAUGUACACAGCUGUAUGAAAUGCUUCCCACCAAAAUUUAAAAGGUAAUUUAGAUUGAGCUAGCAGUGUAAGUCCCAUUUCAACAAUAUGCCUAUGUUUUCUUUCAACCAAUCCAUUUUGAUGAUGAGUGUAUGGGCAUGAGUGUCUAAAAAUGAUACCACACUGAUUUAAGAACUCAGUGAAAGGUCUGUACUCACCCCCCCCAAUCAGAUUGUAACUGCUUAAUGGUGGUUUGAAACUGAUUUUCAACCUGUGUUUUGAAAAGCUUAAAGACACUUAGAGCUUCAGACUUAAACUUUAGAGGGUAGAUCCAGGUAAACCUGCUAAAAUCAUCCACAAAACUGAUAUAAUAGUGAUAUCCAUCUCUAGUGUAGACAGGUGAAGGACCCCAGAGAUCUGUAUGUAUCAGUUCUAAAAACUUAGUUGUUUUGGUUGUGGAUGAAGGGAAAUGAAGCUUAUGGCCUUUGCCCAUUUGACAAGCUUCACAGAUGUAUUGCAGUGCUUGUGUUAUUUGAUUAUCAGAAAAAUUUGCAGACUUGAUGUUUUUGAGAACAUGCUUUAAGAUAUAUUGAUUGGGAUGACCAAAUCUAUUAUGAAACAAAGCAAUCUUAUUCACUGAUGUUGUACAAGAUAAUGCAGUAGAUGAAUAACAAGAUUUUGAAUUAAAAUGAAAACAUGACAGCAUUGACAUUGGCUUAUUUGAACUGAUCUGAGAUAGAAAAGAUGAUUUAGAGAAUGAGUAUGGUUUGAAUAACAGCCUGUAUAAUCCUCUUUCAGCAAUACCCUGCAGCAGAACUUCCCCCUUCAGAGCAUCCUUCACAUAACAUAUAUUUCCAAGAAAUUCAACAGACAAAUGGUUAUCAGAUGUGAGUUUAGAAAUACUCAAUAAAUUUUUGGUAAUUGAAGGGACAAGAAGAAUAUCUUUCAGUACUAUGUGUGGGUAUUUGUGUUGAGCAAAUGAAGUUUUAAAAAAAAAUUUUGCAUCACCAACAUGAGUUAUGGGCAAACCUUGUCCAUUUCCAAUGAUAAGCUGAUCAGAACCAUUGAAUUCCUCUCUGACCUGCAUAUUAGCCAUGUUGUUGGUUAAGUGAUGAGUUGCUCCACUAUCAAGAUACCACCCUUCAUCAGCAGGCCCUUCAAAAUUUCCAAGAUAAGCAGCUCCAGUAGCUCCAGGUGCAGAAGACAUUUCAGAUGAACAAUGAGGCAUAGAAGAAUAUGUCACUGGAUCCAGAUUGUAAGACUGAUAAUUUGAGCAGUUCAUAGCAUAAGGAUCAUCAAAAUAUGGUGCAAACUCAGCAUGUGAGUCACAUGUAGUCAUAUAAGCUGACUUAGGUCCUCUUCCUCUGCCAAAAUGCCUUGACUGUGGCACAUAAUUCUCAAUAUAUCUAUGCCAACAAGCAUCAGCUGUGUGCCCUGACUUAUGACAUAUCUGACAAACAGGAAUGUUAUCAUCUGAUUCAGCUCCAGCUGACACAAAACCUUGACCAUGAAGCUUAGGAUGUGAUAAGACUUUGUGAAACUGCAUUGGCAUAGAGUUGCCUCUUCCAAAAUUAUGACCAAUGUUAUUAAAGCCUCUAGGAUAUGUAUUAAACAUCAUUCCUCUUCCAGCAUUUCUGUUUCCAUUAUGAAUUUGUCCACGAUAUCCUCCAUAACCAAAACCUCAUCUUCUAUUAUUCCCUCUGACUUGAGAAUAAUUGGAAUUCAUCACUCCAUAGUUAGCAUUGAACAUGACUUUAGUAUUCUGAGUGGUCUGACUUUGUUCUAAUCGUGCCUCAUGUGUUAACAGUAAGGCAUAAGCAUCAUCAUAAGACAUCUUAUUAGCUGUGAUAAUAGAUGCAAGAUCUAGAUAACCAGUCCCUAAUCCAUUUAGAACUUGCAUUAACAGAUCCCUUUCUGACAUAGGACUACCAGCACAGGCAAGUUUAUCAGCUAAUAUUUUGACUUUUAAGCAAUAUUCUUCAACAGACAUGGAUUCCUUUCCAAGUACAUUCAAUUCAUAACGAAGUUGCAUUAUUUUAGCUUCAGACUGAGCUCCAAAUUGUUUCUCAAUAGAUCUCCAAGCAUCUCGUGAAUUGUCACAAUUAAGAAUAGAACUGAGAAUAUCUUCAUUAACUGAUGAUAACAGCCAGCCAAGUAGUAUUUGAUCCUGAGCUCUCCAAUUUAUGUAUGCUGGAUUAUCUACUUUCUGCACUGAUCCAUCAACUGUUGUUUGAAUGAUAUGUUGCUCUGGUAUGAUCUGAUUUUCAGAUAUGAAAUCUUCAAGCCGAUUUCCUCUGAUUGAUGUAAGAACUUGUUUUCUCCAGAUUAGGAAAUUAGAUCGAUCUAGUUUUAUUGGAUUACUAAAUGAGAAUGAGAUCUGUGAAGUUUGAUUUGCAUUUGUUGAAUUUGAAAGUGUUGUUAUGUUGCUGGAACUAGCCAUAUUGGCUCUGAUACCAUGAAAGAAAUUGAGAGAAAAUAUUGUUUGGUUGCUGAGAAAAUAUCUCAGAAAAUUUCCAGAGAACUUUCGGAUUUCUUGUAUUUAUUUUUCUUAGAAAGAAAUGUUAUGAUUACAACUUAUUUAUACUUAAAGCUCAAGGAGUACUAAAGCUAAUGACUAACUAAUUCAGUAGGAUCUACACAUGCAUAACCACAGCUCGAUAUACAGAGUAAUCACACCAGACUGUUAACUACUUAAGCUGAGGUGGCAGCUGAGCUGUCAUUCUGCUUACAUUCAUCUGACGUCACCAGCUUGCUGGUUUUCCUUAGCUUGUGCAGCUUCCUCUUUUCUGCACAAUGAGCAUCUCUAACAUUUUCCAAGGGUUAAUUAGGUAGAACUUUCAUGUCGUCGAAUUUAUUUGGAGAUACUUUAGAUUUUUUUUCCUUGUGGGACAUGAAAAUUGAUGCAUGUUCCAAUGCAUUGCUCCUACCAUAUUUGGAAUUAAACUUAGUUUGUGUUCUCCUAUUCCGAAAGCAAAACUUAUACUUACUGUAUAAGUGAUAUUCUAAUAAGUAGAAAUUAAGAACCAUAACAAACUUGAUGAUUCUAAUUUGCUAGAAAUAUUGCAAUCCAAAACUAAGAAAGUUCAAACCAAUUAUUAGAAGAAAAAAGUAGGACGGAAGCUCCCAUAAUAUUGUUAUGUGUUGUAUGUUUUCAGUUUGUAUUUCCCAAUCAAUAAGGAAAAGUAAGUACACAUGUUACAAAAAUUUAAUAAAAAAGAUUGGAGGUGACAAAACCUUCAAUCUUCUAAUUAACUUUCUCUGCAUUGGAAUUUCCUUAGUUUGGUAGAGAUUGCUUAAUUGGUGUAUCUAUUAUAAACACUGUAAGUCAAAGUUACUGUUUUAAUUGUUAAGAAAAGUUAGAAGAAGAAAUUUUUGCAUAAGAGAAUUGGGUUUAAAUUGAGAAUUCUUUAGGAGGAAAUGAGUCUAAAUUCUAACACGAUAAUUUAGCACUAUAUAUAUAUCAUUAAUUGGGUGAAAAAUUAGGGUACCCGUAUGCCUAUGUUGUAACAGUUGUAAGGUACCACUAAUUUUUGUCUUUUGUGAUGUCAAAUUUCAUUUAAUCUCUUUUUUUUAUUUAUAGUUUAUUUAUAACGUUACGUGUUUUGGCAUGUGACUUUUAAAAUAUAAUUUUAUUUUAUUUAAAAUUAUUUAUUUUUUUAUAAUUUAUUUAUAAGUUUAUGUGGUUUGGCUGAUGAUCUAUUCAAAUGUAAUUUUAUUUCAUUUAAUAUUAUUUAACUUCUAAAAGAACAAAUAUAACAAUAAGCCUUUAACUAGAUAAUAUUAACUAAUAUUUUUAAUAAAAUAAAAUAUUAAAAAUAUAUUCUUUUAAAUAAAAUAAAUAAUAUUAAAAAAUAAUAUUUAUUUUUUAGGACUCACAAUUGCUUAUUCUAUUUUAUUUAAUAUUAUUUAAUUUUGAAAAAUAAAUAUAAUAAUAAGCUAUGACUAAAUAAUAUUAAAUAAAAUAAAAUAAAUAUUAUUAAAAAUAAUAUUGAUUUUUUGAGACUCAUUACUGAUUAUUUCAUUUUAUUUAAAAUUAUUUAGUUUCAUGAAAGAAUAAAUAUAAUAAUAAGUCUAUGACUAUAUAACGUUAAAUAAAAUCAUAUAAAUAAUAUUAAAAAAUAUUCUGCUGUACGGCCAAGGCGGAUGUACGGUACAGCAGUUUUUUUUUCCUGCAAUCGCCGAAUNNNNNNNNNNNNNNNNNNNNNNNNNNNNNNNNNNNNNNNNNNNNNNNNNNNNNNNNNNNNNNNNNNNNNNNNNNNNNNNNNNNNNNNNNNNNNNNNNNNNNNNNNNNNNNNNNNNNNNNNNNNNNNNNNNNNNNNNNNNNNNNNNNACCGUACAUCCGCCUUGGCCGUACAGCAGAUAUUAAGUACAACAAUAAGUUUAUGUACGGUACAGCAGAAAUGAAAUGAGAAUAAAUAAUAUUAAAUAAUAUUUUUAAUAAAUAAAUGAUAUUAAAAAUUAAUUUUUUAAAUAAAAUAUAUAAUAUUAAAAUAAAAUUUAUUUUUUAAGACUCACUACUAAUUAAUCAACAUAAAAUUUUAAACAAUUUGGACUUAUGUGAUAAAAGUUUUAAUUCUUUAGCUCUUUUGCGUUUUUGAUAAAAAGCAGGGAGCAUAAUGUUAAUAUUCAAAUAAACAAAUCUCUACCCUUCAAUCUAUCUUUUCAUUAAAUCCAAUGAUCAAGAAUUGAAAUCAUAAAAAAUAAAAUUAGGUGGUACCUUGCAACUGUUGCAAGGUAGUUAAGUCCGAAAAAUUAAUUUCCCUCCUUUGAUGUGAUUUUGAUCGUUUAUUUUUAUAUGAUGGUAAUUUCUUGUUUAGAGUGAAGCUAAGGGUGGGUAAGGUUCGGUUCGGAUCGAAAUUAAGUAGAACCGAUUUAAAUCUGUUAUUUUAUAAAAAGAACCGAAUAAGAACUGAAUUCAAUAAGAACCGAACUCAAACGAAUCUUGUUAAAUCGGUUCGGUUCGGUUUUUUCGGUUUUGGGCCUAUUAGGCCUAUUUUGAAUUUCUAAAUUUUUAGCUCAUUUGGCCUCAUGAAUGUCAUAAUUGUUUUCAACAAUUAAUUCAUCCUAAUUUCAUUACAAAUAUUAACAAUAAAUACAAAGUAUUCAAAACACAUUUUAUCACUAAUAUCUUACUAACUACUAAUUAGAUACUGACUACUCACAAAAUAUGAAAUAUUAAGAUUUCAAAAUACAUAACCAAACUCUAAUACUCCAUCUACAUAAACAUAAUGUUGUAAAGACAAAUAAAAAUAACAACAGUGAUUUUGUUCUUCGGUUCGGUUCUUCGGUUCAGUUGAGUGAAUCGAAUACCGAACCAGUAUUUCGUUUUUUUAUAAAUAAUAUAUUUCAGUUUUUUUUUAAAUUAAAACCGAACCAAAUUAGAACCGAAUUGUCGGUUUGGUUCGUUUUUUUAAGAAUACAGUUUUUUUGUCCAGUCCUAAGUGAAGCUAUUGGCACCAUUUCGCUAUAUUUAUAAAAUUCUACUUCAACUAAAAUUACACUUAAAGACAAUAGAAUUAAACAAACAUGUUUUUUUUUUCCAAACAAAUUACUUACAUUCAUAAUUAUUUUUCUUCUAAUUUUCUUCAUGUUGCUUCGUAUCUAAGUAAAAUAAAUUGUAUAAAUUUAGAAUAAUCUAUUAUUCUUUUUAAAUUUCUUAUUGAUUAAAUACUUUUGUGCUUAAGAUUGCUUUAAAAUUAUAAGAUAAAAUAUGUGUAAUUUAAGCCAAUGAUUAACAUUCAAAAUUUUAUCUCUCAGAAACGUUUUUAAUUUGUGUACAGGGUAACAAUAAAAUCGUAAAAGAAAUAAAAAAUAGCAUAACACUACUUUGAGUUUAGAAAACAAGGUUUCAUGAGGGGUGCAAUAGUUCAACUCUUUUGUGUAAAGUUUUAAGAUGAUGGUAUCCGUAGCUUAGUUUUUCCCUAAUUAUUAUAUUAAAAUGUAAUAACAAUGCUGAUCACGCCAAUCUCAUGGAGGUCAAAGAUUUUGGUCAUGCCGCAUGAAUUAGUGCUUUUGGUUGGCAAAUACUUGUAUAAAUUUAUUUACAUUAAAUAAUUUGACCAAGACUACGUAAGGCGCCGCCUGGAGACUGGAGUCAUCGUAUUUUAUACGUCAAAAGCGCGUUUCAGUUCAAUAAGCCAUAAAUGUCGUUUAAUAUGCUCAUUUUGUACUUUUUUUUAAUAAAAAAAUUAUUUAUUUUUUAAAAAUAUUGUUUAUUUUUUUUUAAAGGUAAAGAGGUGGGUAAAAUCUAAAUUCAAUUUUUAUCCCUAAGAUUUGAACUCAGGUGAAUAGCCAAAUGUAUAAUAACAUGUAUUUCGAAUUUAAUUUUAAAUGAUAUGCAAUUCGUUAAGUGAUUGUUAAUUUUUUAUAAGAUCAAAAUGAAUUAAUUGUAUUAUCUCAUUAACUAAUUGAUAAGUGCCCUAUUAUUUGGGAUAACUUUUGAAUAAAAAAAUUGUGAUGGAUGAAAUAUUCUUUUGAGAAUUUAUUGACUUAUCUCAUUUAUGACUUAUUGUUGCAUUUAAGUGAUUUUGCAAAUAAUAUUAUUGUUUUGACAAGUAAGUUUGGAGUAAAUAAUACAUAUGGCAAGUGUUAGGUUUGUUAUUGCAUAUAUUUUGUGGAUCCAUUUUAAAGCCAAAAAAAAGGCAUUUCUAUUCAUUAUGAUCCCAGAUAAUUUCAAGCCAUAUGUCAUUAUUGGGAUAAAAAUAAAGUAAAAUGGUUAAAACUAUUUUUAUGUAAUUUAUAAAAAUUAAUGAAGCAACUACAAAAAUUUUUAACCGAAAAACAAUUGAAAUGUGUGUGGAAAAAGAAGAAAAAAAUAAGGCAUUUAAAUAUCUUCUUAAAAAAUACGAUUGAGUAAAAUCAUUUUAACAGAAUGCUCUUCCAAAUACAAUUCCACAUUUUUUUUUAUUGCAGUGGGAUAUUCCAAAAUUGGCACAACUCAUUAAGAAUUCGGCAACUCAAAUUUUAUUUAUCACUCUAUGCAUUUGAGAAAUUAAAAAGAAAAAAAAUUCAUAUAUCUUCUGUUCAAAAGAAACCUUGGUAAAUAUUGUAAAACAAAUUACCAAUUUUUUUAAUUUAUGCCAUUAUAUCGUCGCUAUUUUCUCGCCCACUUUCUUAAAAUAGAAUCAAUAUUCAUUGAUGGGUUGGGUUCCAGAGUAAGCACCAAUUCAGUAAAAUGGUUUUAUAGCAGAAAAAGCACUUGUAAGACAUUCAGGACACAUUUUUCAAUUUUGUCUUUUGAAAAUGAGUCUUGAGUUUCCGCAAGCCAAGAAGAAUGGCUAAAAAAUGUAUGGUAUCAAAGAAAGAGAAACACACACACAUAGAAACACACACACACACAGAGAUUAGUGGGGAGAUAUAUAUAUAUAUGUGUGUAAUUUGUAUAUAUAUCCCCAUUAAUUGUUGAUAGUCCAACGGGUGAGUAUAUGCAAAAGGAAAAAAUUGGCUGUCCUUUAAGACAAGAUUGACUGUCACAUGAAAAUGUUAGCACACUUGCCACGCAACAAAAAUAAAGAUUCCAAGAACAACUUUAUGGUCCCCUUUCUAAUGACGGGAUUAGUAGUAGCUGCAAAUUCAUAAAUUUCAUUUAUGAGUUUAUAAAAUCUCACUUCACAAAAUCCAAAAAUAACCAAUACUAUCACACCAAAAGUAAAAAUUAUUGCUGUCACGACAUUACACACUUUCUUUGCUAUCUAGAAAGCUAUAACAUUUGGAAGUUCUUCAAUACAAAAUGCAUACUACUACUAAAUUGGCCCAAUUAGUGCCCAUCGAAAAGGCCAUCAAUUUAGCCACCAAAUUUGCCAAAGUUUUAACAAUUGAAGAAACAAUGAACGCAAAAGGAAUAGGUAAAUUUUAAAGUUGAACAAACCUUGAAAUACAUACAACAAAACCUUGAAACUUUAGUCUUCACAAUUUAAGCACGCAAUAAUAUUAAGUAUCCACCUGGAAAACAAGUAUAGAACAAAGCUUGUUAGCUUCUUGGGCAUUAACUAUGAAUGAUGAGUAAAAUUAAAAAAGCAAACAGAGAAAAUUAUGACAAGAAGAAAAGCAAACAUUUAAAAAAAAAAUACUAGUAGGAAAAUUUUGGUAAAACUCCAUGGCUUAUCUGCAAAAUUAAUGUUAAUGUGUAUUUUUAUGCAAACAGGGUCUCUUGAUUUGAGGAUGAAUCAAUCCGCUAUCACAAACGAAAACAUGAACCAACCAUAUAUAGAGUCAAUUAAUUAAAGUUCUCAAGAGCUUACCUCUGCUCUAGAAUUCUCGGAAUCAUCUAACUCCUUCUGAAUUUGCACGAAACUUUGGACAAUCAUGAACUUCUUUAUAGAAUCCAGAUGGAAAUGGGAUCUGAUAACCUGCAGGCCAAAAGUUGGUGAGGUUUGGUAAAUCUCUCAGUGUCAAGUCCCGAAGUUCAUUCAUAACAAUUUCAUAGUAAUCCGUGACAUCUGCUCCACCUUUAUGCCAAAAUACUUCUUUUAUUUCAUCAUUAGCUUCUAUGGAUAUGUACUUCAGUUUUUGAAGACUUGGAGCUAUGCUGAUAUGAAAUAGAUGCCUUAGUUUGUGGCAAUAACGGACAUAGAUCGAUUUGAGUUUUGGGAAACAUACAGGUUGGAGAUUAUUCUCAUCCUCAUCCUCAUCAAUGAUUUGCUCUAAUUCCCAGCAACGCCAAAUACGUAACACCUCCAAUUGCAACAGAUUUCGAGCAAGUGUUGAUGAGAGGAGACAUCUCAGCGUAGAGCACCCGUUCACGAUUAAAUGGGUAAGAUUUUGCAGGCUAAAAUUAUGCGUGGGACCUUCGUGAUAUAAUACUUGCAGUUCUUGAAGAUCUUCCAAUUCCAACAUCUUCAAACAUGGGAAUAAUUUGUUUUCUUGUACCUCAGCGAUAAUAGCUUCCAAUUGAAAUACCACCUGUACUCCAAGUUGGCUAAUACCCAAAUAUUCCAAAUUUUUUAAGCCGUGCUUCAAUAGUGCUAGAAUCGUGUCACUUAAAUGGAAACAAUCGUCCACAUUUAGAACUUUUAAGUUCUGAUACAAACAAAUAGGUUAGUUGAUAUAAUUAAAAUCUAUUAGCAGCUAGGAUUAUCACAUGAUAAGUGAUGAACCCCGCAAAAAAAAAAAAAAACAGAGACAAAAUCCAUGCAAAAAUAUAAUAAUACAUAUGUAAACAAAUAAAAUAAUUAAAAAGUAAUGGAAUUUUUUUUAAAUGAAAUUAGUUAAAAGAGAUCAUGUGAAGUGAUAUAAAGGUGACAUUAGAUUGUUUGAGAAAAAUUAGUAUUCUAUUAAUUUCUAUGGCUUGAUCAACUAAUUAAUUGAAUUUGAGUAAUAUUAUAUACACUUCAGAAGUGUUUACGUCAAUUCUUUCUAAACCAAAAUGAGAUAUAACUUUCAUUUGAAGAAUAAUUUUAGGCCCUAUAAUAAAGAAAUUUCCCUAAGAUAUCUGAGCAUUAUUAUUAUCAUUACCACAUCCACCACCACCAUCAUCAUCUCCAUAGGAUCAAAUAAUUAAUGGCUGGUAUAAAAUUUAUUGCUAAACUAUCAUUUUGACUAAAAAUUGAAGGAAAAGAAGAAACAUGAACCCAAACAAAC
rnacentral:lncRNA from 1 species